UACAUGGGGACCUGGGGUGGCUUGUACGACUGGGGCCAUGGUGUAGCCUGCAGUUCUGUUGAGAGAGGAGAAGCAUCAUCGAAAGCAAAAUUUCCAUGAUGGAAAUCUUCAUACCAGUCGUCCUCAUUGUAAAAGCCUUCUUGAUGAAGCUCUCUGCGCGGAGGCCUUCGGUUCUGAUCAUCUUGAACAAGAUGACGAACCUAUUCCGAAGCUUCAUCUAUCUGUCUCUGAAGAUCAGCUAGACGAGCCAUCUUCUCCUUCUUUUGUUGCACCUGCUGCUGAAGGAUCUCCAGGUUUUGGAUCUCCUGAUCCAAGUCGUCCUCCGGAGGCGUUGGACUAGCGGCCUUCCUCUUCUGGCUUCGGGCCUCCCUAAGGGAAAGGACGUCCUGAUUGGGGUCCAGCGGCUGCAGAGUGGCAGCCCCUGUUGCUGAAGCUUUUUUCGGCGGCAUGACGAAGGUGAUGCUUGCCGAAGGUGUUCAAGGCUCAAGAAAUGGAAAUGAGUUCACCGGAGGUGGGCGCCAAUGUUGGGGACUUGUUCUCAAAUGCUAUGAAUUAAGAACAAGGCAACAUAAAAUGUUAAAUAUCAAAGCCCUUCGUCCUUCAGAUCAUUAUUUCCCUUCGGGUAUAAUGAGUUUAGGACGAAGGUUAUGAAGGACAUACCUUCACGAACAUGAUAAAAGAUUGAAAACAUUCAUACAAAAUACAGAAAGUAACAUAAUUUUUGUAAACAUUAUUAUUAAUCUAUUUUCAUUUAUAUUCCUUGUAUAAACAAUAGUAAAUUAUAAGUGUACCUUCGGCUUGAAGGAAUGAAAAUACAGAUGUGACGCAAAAGUGAAUGCCAAGUCAGCGUGAACAGUACGGGAGUACUGUUCAUCUAUUUAUAGGCAUGGGACGCAGCCCGUGUAAAAUUACAUUAAUGCCCUUUACAUUUAUAAAUAACUCCACAGUAGUUCUUCAGGGUCUAAUUUGGCUUUUCAUCUUUAAGUCGGUUCCCCUUUUCCACUGUCAUGCCGAAGCUUAUCUGCGCAUAGCUUCGUGAUGAUCUUUUCCUUCGUCACAAUCGCCUUCCGUCCCACUCAAGUUUCGUCUUGACCAUACUCUUAUAUACUCGUAAUCCAAUUCCGAAGAUACCUGUUCACACAUUUCACUUGGAAAAUAUUGUCAAAUCAUGUUUUUGAGGACCUUCGGAAGCCGAAGGUCCCCAACAGUACCCAAGGCAAUAACUAACACUAGAGGACCCAAUUCAAUUUGGGUACAUAAAAGCAUAGCUUAAACUUGUUUUGCGGGUCUACUCCUCCAGUGGGUCAAGCUGGGUGCUUGACAGUGGAUGUACAAAUCACAUGACCGGGGAGAAAGACAUGUUUCACUCCUUGCAAAUAACUCAUGAAGCACAAGAAAUUGUGUUUGGAGAUAGUGGCAAGAGUGAAGUGAUUAGUGUUGGUAACAUCCCUAUCUCUGAACACCAGUCACUCUCAAAUGUUUUGUUAGUUGAUUCAUUAAGCUAUAACUUGAUGUACAAACACAACUUUGUGGAAUGGGAUAUGAUUGCCUAUUUACUGAUGUUGAUGUGAAGAUCCUUAGAAGGGAGGAUUCCUUUGUUGCUUUUAUAGGUCGCUUGAAGGGCAAACUCUAUCUUGUUGAUUUCACAACAAGUAGGGUGACGCCUGAGACUUGUUUAGUGGCAAAAUCCGACAAGGGUUGGCUUUGGCAUCGUCGGCUAGCUCAUGUUGGCAUGAGGAACUUGACCAAACUUCAAAAGGAUAAUCACAUUAUUGGACUAACAAAUGUUGUGUUUGAGAAAGAUAGGGUAUGUGGCGCAUGUCAAGGAGGGAAGCAACAUGGCGUUCCACAUCAAUCAAAGAAUGUGGUCACAACUAAGAGACCUUUGGAGCUUCUUCAUAUAGACCUCUUCGGACCUGUGGCCUACAUUAGUAUUGGUGGCAGUAAGUAUGGAUUAGUUAUUGUUGAUGAUUUGUCUCGCUUCACCUGGGUUUUCUUUAAGUGAUAAAGGUGAAACCCAAUAAACAUUAAAGAAAUUUAUGAGAAGAGCUCAAAAUGAGUUUGAGUUAAAAAUCAAGAAAGUGAGAAGUGACAAUGGGACAGAGUUCAAGAAUACAGGUGUUGAAGAGUUCUUAGGCGAAGAAGGAAUCAAACAUGAGUUCUCGGUCCCCUACACUCCACAACAAAAUGGUGUAGUGGAAAGGAAGAAUCGAACACUAAUCGAAGCCGCCAAAACCAUGUUGGAUCAAUACAAGACACCUGCCAACUUCUGGGCAGAGGCGGUCAACACCGCCAAUCAUGCAAUCAACCGUCUUUAUCUUCAUAAGAUUUAUAAGAAGACUGCCUACGAGCUUCUCACCAGUAACAAACCUAAGGUUGAUUACUUUAGAGUAUUUGGUUGCAAAUGCUUCAUUCUUAACAAGAAAGUCAAGAGCUCGAAGUUUGCUCCUAGAGUGGACAAGGGUUUCUUGCUGGGUUAUGCAUCAAAUGCGCACGGAUAUCGUGUCUUCAACAAUACCAUCGGUCUUGUUGAAAUAGCGAUAAACGUGACAUUUGAUGAAUCUAAUGGCUCGCAAGGGCAUGUUUCUAAUGAUAUUGCAGGAAAUGAAAUCCCACCUAAUGAAGCUAUCAAAAAGCUUGCAAUAGGUGAAGUGAAGCCACAAGAAAAGGACGAUGAUGAAGGGAGAAUUUGGAUGACAAAUAGGGUUGUUGAUAGGGGUGCUAAAGUGGUUGGUGAAAAUCCUUCCAUCUAAGCAAACCCAUCAACCUCAGGUCAUCCAAUCCUUGAAGAAGUGCUUCUACCGCCAGAUAUGCCAACCAUUGUGGAAAAUGAGCAAGAAGUUGCUAGUGAAGAAGCCCUUGAACAAGAUGAAACUGAUGAUCAAAUUGAGAAGCAUUCUCUGGUGCCCCAUCCUCGAGUGCACCAGGGCAUCCAAAGAGAUCAUCCUGUGGACAAUAUCCUGGGUAGCAUCAGGAGAGGGGUAACAACUCGAUCGCGUUUAGCAAUUUUUUGUGAAUUUUACUCGUUUGUCUCCUCUCUUGAACCACUUAAGGUAGAAGAUGCACUAAGCGAUCCAGACUAGAUCAUUGCUAUGCAAGAAGAGCUUAACAACUUCACAAGAAAUAAAGUCUGGUCCUUAGUAGCAAGACCCAAGCAAAACGUCAUUGGAACUAAAUGGGUCUUUCACAACAAGCAAGAUGAAAAUGGCGUGGUAACAAGGAACAAGUCACGACUGGUUGCUCAAGGUUUCACUCAAGUGGAAGGACUUGACUUUGGAGAAACCUAUGCACCAGUAGCAAGGUUAGAAUCCAUAAGAAUAUUAAUUGCCUAUGCUACUAACCAUGAUUUCAAGUUAUAUCAAAUGGACGUCAAAAGUGCAUUCCUAAAUGGACCACUGCAAGAGUUGGUCUAUGUGGAGCAACCGCUGGGUUUUGAAGAUAAGAAACCAAACCAUGUCUACCUUCUUCACAAAGCGCUCUAUGGGCUUAAACAAGCCCCUAGAGCAUGGUAUGAAUAUCUUAAAGAUUUCUUGCUUAAAAAUGGUUUUGAAUAGGAAAAGUAGAUUCUACUCUAUUUACUCGCUAAGUUGACAAUCAACUAUUUGUAUGUCAAAUAUAUGUCGAUGACAUUAUAUUUGGCAGUACUGAUGAAACGUUUUGUGAGGAAUUUAGUAGGGUUGUGACAAAUAGGUUUGAGAUGUCCAUGAUGGGCGAGCUCAAGUACUUCCUUGGAUUUCAAGUAAAAUAACUCAGGGAAGGAACCUUUCUAUACCAAACCAAGUACACACAAGACAUGCUCAAUAAGUUUGGCAUGGAAAAGGCAAAGCACGCCAAGACACCAAUGGCUUCAAAUGAGCAUCUCGAUUUAAAUGAAGAAGGUAAAUCAGUAGAUCAAAAGCUUUAUAGAUCUAUGAUAGGAUCUCUACUAUAUUUAUUUGCAUCUAGACCAGAUAUCAUGCUUAGUGUGUGCAUGUGUGCCCGUUUUCAAGCUAACCCGAAAGAGUGUCACCUAGUGGCUGUUAAGAGAAUUUUAAGAUAUCUAGUUCACAACCAAAACCUAAGUCUCUGGUAUCCCAAGGGCUCAUUUUUCGAUUUAUUUAGCUAAUCUGACUCAGACUAUGCCGGUUGCAAAGUAGAUCGAAAAACCACCUUGGGGACUUGCCAAUUCCUUGGGCGGUCCCUGGUGUCUUGGAGCUCCAAGAAGCAAAAUUAUGUUGCACUUUCCACUGCCGAGGCCGAAUACAUAGCUGUUGGUGCUUGCUGUGCUCAGUUGCUAUGGAUGAAGCAAACCUUGAGAGAUUUUGGCUGUGAGUUAUAGAGAAUUACACUACUGUGUGACAAUGAGAGCGCCAUUAAACUAGCCAAUAAUCCCGUGCAACACUCUAGAACCAAACACAUAGACAUAAGACAUCAUUUUCUGAGGGACCACGAAGCAAAAGAAGAUAUCGAAUUAUGUCAUGUGAACACAGAAAAUCAACUAGCUAAUAUCUUCACAAAACCCCUCGAUAAGACUAGAUUUUGCUUUCUUAGGAGUGAACUAAAUAUCUUGGAUUCUCGUAACUUAACUUGAAAACGGACACAAAAAUUGCUUGAUUCACUGAUUUUUGUUUGAAAGGUUCAAACAUUAGUUUUGUUCAUUCAAAAUAUGUGUAAUUUUUAAAUUGAAAUGAAGUUAUUGUGGAAAUAAUUAUUAAAAUUUAUUACAAGGUCAACUGGUUUGUCCAGCUGAACUUUCUAGUUCAACUGGAGAAACCAGCUGAACUUUCAACUUCAACUGGGGAAACCAGCUGAACUUCAGAGUUCAACUGGUUUCCCCCAGGAAGUUCCCUAGUUGAAACCGGUUGAACCGGUAUAUAGGACCGGUUGAAUCGGUCUGGCGCAGUCUGACCCGCGUGCCGUCGGUCAGUCUGACCGUUUGAGUGACACGCGUCAUUCACUUUUUCAGACACGCGUCAGUCACUUUUUCAGCUUUACUUUUGCAGACAUUUACUUUUUCACUUUUUUCAAACUUGACUGCGCCUGCACUGCUCUGCUGCCCACACUGUUCAAUACUGGUUGAACCGGUAUAUAGGACCGGUUGAAGCGUUCUUCGUCUGACUAGCUCAACUGCAUAUUUAUAGGCCACCCCUCACCUCAAGUCUCUCACACAUUCAAGCCCUUAGUCCUCCAGCCACUUGAUGUCACACCCGGUUUUAGAAGGCAAACCGAAUGCGAACCAUGUACGUGCCAGGAUCAGCAAUUCACAUACACAACAGUUACAUAAUUGGACAUCACCACACUGUGCUUAGAUAAUAACAUAAAAGAGGGUAAUAGUUGAUUACAUCAUGACGUCCGAGACAUCCACAUAGUCAUUAACAAUUAUCAAAGUGCGUAAAAGAAACGUAGAUACACACGGCCUUCACAGGCAGCCGACUGGGGGUUUGCCGCUAACCCACACCUAGAACUCAUUAUACUCUUGGAACUCCUGGAAGUCUUCCUCCACAGCUUCAUCUUCUCCUGAGUAGUGGUUGCAACGUGGACAACCUGGAAGGGUUUGGUGUGUAAAGCAAGGGUGAGUACACAUCAACAUACUCAUCAAUUGUCCCGUUUUAGCUCUAGUGGACUAGCUUUAUGUGGGGUGAAGUCAAGCAGUUGCUUUUAGUUGGUCAGGUUAUUAUUACUAGUAGAGAGCCAGGUUUUAGCAUUAACCCAAGUUAUUAACCCAAAAGUAUCCUUUCCAAACGGAAAGAAUACCAGAAACUUUACCAUAAGCAUAAUCAAACCAUCAUCCUCGUCACCACCUGUAAACCAAACAUCUCUGAUCAAAGUAUCUCUAUUCAGUGGAGCUCCCUUGGCCGCUCAUAACCGCGAGCACGACUGAUAUAUCAGUUUAAUAACACUCUGCAGAGGUUGCACACUUUACCCACAAGCCGUGAUUCCCUCUUGCCUCGGGCCGAUCAAACCCUUAAACAAUACCAAGGUGAAUAGGCAGGGUUUCACUACGUAGCUUUUACAAAGAUUCCCUGAUGUUGUAGCCGCCCAUUAGGUUUUCCUAAAUGUACCGCACUCCUCCCCAAGAAGCAAUCCACCCUCGGCAGAGCGAGCCGCAUACACCGAGCCCCAUUGACGGCACGACGGCGAAGCGAACUACACCCCAGUUCCUCUAAUUAUUCAGCUAAGGGCGUCCCAUUCCACCCUCAUGGUUGCACUGUUUUCCCGGGCGGUCAUCCAACGAACUGGUCCUUAUGGAGAGGCACUCGAGAAACCGUUCGAGUCCCCUUAAAUGUCACAAUAUCAUCAUCAUAAUCAAAAUGGAAAACAACAAUCAUAAAUAAUCUCAUCAUGUUCAUUGAUUAGUGUGAAGCUCUAGCAUAAAGCUAAACCAAAAUAACCCAACCCACAUAGGUAAACAAGGACAAGGUAAAUAAAGCUAGUCAAUCCUUAGGCAUAAAUUGUGUAAAUGCGGGGAGUGAAUUAUAAAAUGAGUAGGACAUAGAUGGGUCAAAGGACACUUGCCUUCACCAACCAGCUGCUGCUCACGGUCUUCACCUGCAAGUCCUUCGGACUCCGCCAACUGACUGUUAUCUAUACGAGUUCAAACAUACAUUCCACAAAUUUAAUACAAAAAGAACAGUACACCAUACAGUAGAAUAUAACAAAUAAAUAGACGCUCAGCGCAGGGCUCGCACCUACGGCUAAGCGAGAAAGAGAAAGCAACGGGCGGGGCUAAAGUCGAAGGGCGAUCACGUUCAACAGUUAUUGAUCAAAGUAUUUUCCUAACCAUAACCACACUAAUUUGAUUAUCACACUAUAAAUAGAAUAAAGUUAUGUUAUAUGUUUAAUUGUUAUAACAAUUCAAGGUAAGUUUGAAAGGAUUGUCGCACGGUGAAACGCACGACGGCACAUACGAACUAAACUGAGAAUAAAAUGAGUGGUCGCGCAGCGCGCGACGUAACACUUAGACUGAACUGAAAUAAAACGAAUCGUCGUGCGAUGGAGCGCGCAACGAGACACUUGAAUUAAUUAUAGCAAAUAACGUCAAGCGUCGUGCGAUGAAGUGCACGACAGCGUACGUCACUUAAACUGAGUCGCGCGACUAGACGUGCGACAUCACACAUUAAAUAACCUAACCUUAGAUUGAAUCGUCGUGCGACGAGGCACGCGACAGCAUAUUAAUAAAUCUGAAAUUAAAAUAAAUUGCCGCGCGACGAAGCACGCGACACAACACAUCAAUUAUACUAAAUUUAAACUAACUAAACUGAAAUUUAAACGUCACGCACGCUGGGGCUGCACGCGCGAGAAUGCGCUACGCGCGCUGGGGCCACGCAGGCCGCACCAGGGCACGCGAGGGCCACCGCUAAGGAGGGCGAGCACGGUCGCGCUGGGCGCGCAACCGCGCCGGGGCGCGUGAGGGCCACGCAGCAGGGCGGGCACGUAGCCGCGCCGGGGCAGGGCGGGCCUGGUCGCGUCAGGGCGCGUGAGGGCCGCCGCCAGGGAGGCCGCGCCGAGGGGCCAGGACGCGCGGGGGGGGGGCGAGGAAAGGGCUGGGACACGCGGGAGGGAAGAGAAAGGGAAGGGAGAGAGAAAGAGAGUGAGGGAGAGGGGAGAGGGGGAGGCUCACCUUGGGAUCCAAAAUCCGGCGAUAAUCGUCACCGGAUCACACCUAGGGCACGAGGUGGGAGAGAGGUGGAAGAGAGGGAGAGGGAGCGGGAGUUGCUGUUCGGGAAAAAUCAAAUGAGAGAAAGGGAGAGCAUGUCGUGCCGACUCUCCCUUUGUCUCAUUUGAUUUUUCCCUAAGAUGAGUAGACGCGAGCAUGUCGCACCGUCUUAAGUCGUUGCCAACUUAGGCCGAUUGCUCCGUUAGCAGGGUAUAGUGGUCACCCUAAGUCGAGUAAGUGUGAGCAUGUUGCACUGUCUUAAGUCAUUGCUGACUUAAGCCGAUUGCUCUGUUAGCAGGGUAUAGUGGUCACCCUAAGUCGAGUAAGUGUGAGCAUGUUGCACCGUCUUAAGUCAUUGCCGACUUAAGUCGAUUGCUCUAUCAGUAGGGUAUAGUGGUCACCCUAAGUCGAGUAAGCGCGAGCAUGUUACACAGUCUUAAGUCAUUGCCGACUUAAGCCGAUUGCUCUAUCAGUAGGGUAUAGUGGUCACCCUAAGUCGAGUAAGCGCGAGCAUGUUGCACCGUCUUAAGUCAUCGCCGACUUAAGCCGAUUGCUCCGUUAGUAGGGUAUAGUGGUCACCCUAAGUCGAGUAAGUGUGUUGAUUCCAAGUCUAAUCAAAUCGAAGUCAAUUGAUAACCAAUAGUUUGAAUGCCUUUGAGAAUGAAAUCUUUUAUUGAUGACGUGUUUUCCAAUUACAGAGUACAACAUUGCUCUGAUAGCUUUUGAAGUCUUGCUAAGGAUAAAACUUCCUGAGGUGCUCUAUAUUCUAUGAGUUCCCCACUUCCGUGCCAUCCAUUUGAAUAAGCCGAUAUGAUCCUGGCCGAGUGACCUCCGAUACCAUGAAUGGCCCUUCCCAUAGCGGUGACAAUUUGUGUCGUCCUUCUCCUGUUAGAAUUCGGCGAAGGACCAAGUCUCCCACUACGAAGGAUCGAUGUCGUAUAGCCUUAUCAUGAUAGCGCCUCAGGGUCUGCUGGUAUCUAGCCGACUGAAUUACUGUAUUCAAUCGCUCUUCUUCCAGCACGUCAAUAUCUUCUAGCCUGGUAGCUUCUGCUUCAGCUAUGCUUUCGAAGACCAGCCUUGGUGCCCCAAACCUGAGGUCGGCAGGUAGCACUGCCUCCGAACCAUAGACCAUGAAGAAGGGGGUCUUUCCAUGCAGAGCUCGACUGGGUUGAGUUCUUAGGCUCCAAACCACAUAAGGUAACUCUCUGAUCCGCUUCUCUGCGAACAUUUCAUUCUUGUCGAAGACUUUCUUCCUGAGUGCUUCCAGUAUCAUUCCAUUAGCCCUUUCCACCUGUCCAUUAGCUCUUGGGUGUGCUACCGAUACAUAUUUGAUCUGGAUGCUCCGUUGUUCGCAGAAAUCAAAGAAUUCAGAGCUAGUGAAGUUGGAUCCCAGGUCAGUUAUGAUGCUAUUCGGUAUCCCAAACCUGAAUAUUAUAUCUUGUAUGAAUUCCACUACCUUGGCUGAAGUUAGAGAAGCAAUGGGUUUGUAUUCUAUCCAUUGGUGAAUUUAUCAAUGGCGACCAACACGUGAGUAUAGCCUCCUUGAGCUUUCUUGAAGGGUCCAGUCAUGUCCAGUCCCCAGCACGCAAAUGGCCAUGUUACAGGUAUGGUCUGCAGUUGCUGUGCUGGUAAAUGUUGUUGCUUUGACAAGAAUUGGCAAGCUUCACAUCUCUGGACUAACUUGGCUGCAUCACUCUUUGCUGUUGGCCAAUAGAAACCAGACCUGAAGACUUUCCCAACCAGAGUUCUGGAUGCUGCGUGUAUUCCACACUGUCCGGCGUGAAUCUCAUCUAGUAGUUGUCUCCCAGUGAUCAAGGAAAUGCAUUUCAUGAGGAUUCCUGUUGCACCCAUUCUAUACAGUGCAUCCCCUAUAAGGGUGUAGUGGGCCGACUGUCUUGCGAUGCAUUCUGCUGCGGCCUUAUCAUCCGGUUCUUCUUCAUUCUUUAUAUACCUGAUGAUAGGCUCUCUCCAGUCGUUAGAGUCUGACUCUGGCUGGCUCAAAGCGUUGCAUUCUUCCGUCUGAUCUGAGGGAAUGCUUGGACGUGACACUGAAAGGGAAAUGUGCCCUUGGGCCAUUUCUAAGUAUUUUGGUGAUUGAGUGCCAACACAAGUGCUUAAAUGUAAAUCUAUGCCCAUGGAUGGACAAGUUGCAAAUCAAAAGUAAAGGUAUGUUUCUAAGCCUUAAUACAUUGGUUUUGUGUACUAAUAUACUUGUCUAAGUGUUAGAAACAGAAAGAAGAGAAGAGUUGGCUGUGUACAGCCAAAAGGCUGUUUCGGUCUGGGGCACCGGACUGUCCGGUUGUGCACCGGACAGUGUCCGGUGGUGCACCGGACAGUGUCCGGUGCGCCAGGCUGCCUCGGGCGAAGAGGCCGCUCUCGGGAAUUUGCCGACGGCGUACGGCUAAAAUUCACCGGACUGUCCGGUGUGCACCGGACUGUCUGGUGAGCCAACGGUCGGCUGGGCCAACGGUCGGCCGCGCGAUCUGCGCGAGACACGUGGCCAAGCCAACGGUUGAAAGGGGGCACCGGACUGUCCGGUGUGCACCGGACAUGUCCGGUGCGCCAACGGCUCCCAGAUCUUCAACGGUCAGCAACGGUCGGCUGAGCUGUUUAAGGAAGGAAAUCGGGCACCGGACAGUGUCCGGUGUGCACCGGACUGUCUGGUGCGCCCGACGACAGAAGGCAAGGAUGGCCUUCCAGAUUUGUUCUCAACGGCUCCUAGCUGCCUUGGGGCUAUAAAAGGGACCCCUAGGCGCAUGGAGGAGGACACCAAGCAUUCCUACAACAUUCCUAAGCACCAAGACAUCGAUCUCGCGCAUUCGUUUCAUUGUGAUAGCAUAUAGAGCUCUUGUGGAGUUGUGAACUCUUUGAGUUGUGUUGCGAACUCUUGUUGCUACUUGUGUGCGUGUUGUUGCUCUGAUCUUUUGAAGUCUUGUGUGCGUUGCUCAUUCCCCCCCUUGCUCUGUGUUUCUUUGUGAACUUCAAUUGUAAGGGCGAAAGGCUCCAAGUUGUGGAGAUUCCUCGCAAACGGGAUUGAGAAAAAGCAAGCAAAACACCGUGGUAUUCAAGUGGGUCUUUGGACCGCUUGAGAGGGGUUGAUUGCAACCCUCGUCCGUUGGGACGCCACAACGUGGAGUAGGCAAGCGUUGGUCUUGGCCGAACCACGGGAUAAUCCACUGUGUCAUCUCUGUGAUUGAUCUCUUGUGGUAUUGUGUUGUUGAGACUCCUUUAUAGCCACUUGGCAAUUAUUGUGCUAACACUUAACAAGUUUUUGUGGCUAUAAGUUUAAGUUUUAUAGGAUCACCUAUUCACCCCCCCUCUAGGUGCUCUCAAUUGGUAUCGGAGCCGUUCUCUUCAAGAAAGGGACUAACCGCCCGAAGAGAUGGAUCCUAAGGGGAAGGGAAUCGUGAUCAACGAUAAGGAAAAGGAGUCCUUCGUCAACGAGCCCAAAGAUGACAAGCCUACCGACUCCGGCUCGGGCCAUAGACGGAAGGAAGGGAAGAAGAAGAAGACAAGGCGCAUCAAGGAGAUCGUCUACUACGACGACAGCGACGAAUCUUCCUCUUCCCAAAAGGACAACGACGACAACGACUAUGACAAACAAAAGACGGUUAACUCAAACUUUUCUUUUGAUUAUUCGCGCAUUCCGCAUAGCUCAAAUGCUCAUUUGCUCCCCAUUCCACUUGGCAAGCCUCCUCACUUUGAUGGAGAGGACUACGGAUUUUGGAGUCACAAAAUGCGUACUCACCUAUUUUCUCUCCAUCCAAGCAUUUGGGAGAUUGUGGAAAGUGGAAUGAAAUUUGAUAGCUCGGAUAGCCCUUCGUUUAUUAAUGAACAGAUCCAUAAAAAUGCACAAGCUACUACUGUGUUGCUAGCCUCUUUGUGCAGGGACGAGUAUCACAAGGUGAGCGGCUUGGACAAUGCCAAGCAGAUUUGGGACACCCUCAAGAUCUCUCAUGAGGGGAAUGAUGUCACCUUACUCACCAAGAUGGAGUUGGUGGAGGGCGAGCUCGGACGAUUCGCGAUGAUAAGGGGCGAGGAGCCGACACAAACAUACAACCGGCUCAAGAUCCUUAUCAACAAAAUAAGGAGCUACGGAAGCACGCGAUGGACGGAUCACGACGUCGUCCACCUAAUGCUAAGGUCAUUUACCGUUCUUGAUCCUCACUUGGUGAACAAUAUUCGUGAAAAUCCUAGGUACAUCAAGAUGUCGCCCGAAGAAAUUCUUGGAAAAUUUGUAAGCGGGCGAAUGAUGAUCAAGGAGGCGAGGUACGUGGACGACGCGUUGAAUGGCCCAAUCCAUGAGCCUCAACCCAUUGCUCUCAAGGCAACAAGGAGCAAGGAGGCGCUACCCAGCAAGGUGGCGCAAAUUGAGGCGGCCGGUCUUAAUGAUGAAGAGAUGGCCCUCAUCAUCAAAAGAUUCAAGACGGCACUAAAGGGUCGCAAGGGACAGCCAAGCAAGACUAAGACCAAGGGAAAGCGAUCAUGCUUCAAAUGCGGUAAGCUUGGUCAUUUUAUUGCUAACUGUCCCGACAAUGAUAGUGACCAGGAACACGGGAGCAAGAGGGAAAAGAAGAAGCAUUACAAGAAGGCCAAGGGCGAGGCACAUAUCGGAAAGGAGUGGGAUUCGGAUUGCUCCUCCUCCGACUCCGACAAUGAAGGACUCGCCGCCACUGCCUUCAACAAGUCAUCCCUCUUCCCCAACGAGCGUCACACAUGCCUUAUGGCAAGGGAGAAGAAGGUAUGUAAUCAAAACAAUGUCACUUAUGAUUCUUUCAGUGAUGAUGAGUCUAGUGAUGAUGAAAUAGAUUACUCUAGUUUGUUCAAGGGAUUGGAUAGAACUAAAGUAGAUAAAAUUAAUGAAUUGAUUGAUGCCUUGAAUGAAAAAGAUAGACUCUUAGAAAAACAAGAGGACCUUUUGUAUGAAGAGCAUGACAAAUUUGUAGAGGCACAAAAAUCUUAUGCUUUAGAAGUUAAAAGAAAUGAAGUGCUUUCUAGUGAACUAUCUUCUUGUCAUGAAACCAUUGCUACUUUAAAGAGUGUUAAUGAUGACUUAAAUGCUAAACUAGAAGUAGCUAGUAAAUCUAAUUCUUGUGUAGAACAUGUUGAGAUUUGCACUAGGUGUAAAGAUUUCGAUGUUGAUGCUUGUAGUGAUCAUUUAGUUUCAAUUUCCAAAUUAACUGAGGAAUUGGCUAGUCUUAAUGCCCAACUUAAGACUAGCAAGAAUGAAUUUGAUAAACUGAAAUUUACAAGGGAUGCCUACACGAUCGGUAGACACCCCUCAAUUAAGGAUGGACUUGGCUUCAAGAGGGAAGCCAAGAACUUAACAAGCCAUAAGGCUCCCAUUCCCGCUAAGGAGAAAGGGAAGGCCUCUAUGGCUACUAGUGCUAAAAAGAACCAUGCCUUUUUGUAUCAUGAUAGGAGACAAACUAGAAAUGCUUAUAGGAGUUAUAAUGCGUACGAUGAUUUUUCUCAUGCUCUGUUUGCUUCUAGUUCUUCAUAUGUGCAUGAUAGAAAUGUUGGUAGAAGGGAUGUUGUUCAUAAUAUGCCUAGGAGAAAUGUUGUUAAUAUUCCUAGGAAAGUUAAUGAGCCUUCUACAAUAUAUCAUGCUUUGAAUGCUUCCUUUGCAAUUUGUAGAAAGGAUAGAAAGGUAAUUGCUAGGAAGUUAGGGGCAAAAUGCAAGGGUGAUAAAACUUGCAUUUGGGUCCCUAAGGAAAUUGUGACUAACCUUAUAGGACCCAACAAGAGUUGGGUACCUAAGUCCCAAGCCUAAAUUUGCCUUGCAGGUUUAUGCAUCCGGGGGUUCAAGCUGGAUUAUUGAUAGCGGAUGCACAAACCAUAUGACGGGGGAGAAGAAGAUGUUCACCUCCUACGUCAAGAAUAAGGAUUCCCAAGAUUCAAUUAUAUUCGGUGAUGGGAAUCAAGGCAAGGUAAAAGGGUUAGGCAAAAUUGCAAUGAGCACUCUAUCUCUAAUGUGUUUUUAGUAGAGUCUCUUGGAUAUAAUUUGCUAUCUGUUAGUCAAUUAUGCAACAUGGGGUAUAACUGUCUAUUUACAAAUGUAGAUGUGUCUGUCUUUAGAAGAAAUGAUGGUUCACUAGCUUUUAAGGGUGUAUUAGACGACAAACUUUAUUUAGUUGAUUUUGCAAAAGAAGAGGCCGGUCUAGAUGCAUGCUUAAUAGCUAAGACUAGCAUGGGCUGGCUGUGGCAUCGCCGCUUAGCACAUGUGGGGAUGAAGAACCUUCACAAGCUUCUAAAGGGAGAACAUGUGAUAGGUUUGACUAACGUGCAAUUCGAAAAGGAUAGACCUUGUGCAGCUUGUCAAGCAGGUAAACAAGUGGGAGGAGCGCAUCACAGCAAGAAUGUGAUGACCACUUCAAGACCCCUGGAGCUGCUGCAUAUGGAUCUCUUCGGACCCGUCGCCUAUCUGAGCAUAGGAGGGAGUAAGUAUGGUCUAGUUAUUGUUGAUGACUUUUCCCGCUUCACUUGGAUGUUCUUUUUGCAGGAUAAGUCUGAAACCCAAGGGACCCUCAAGCGCUUCCUCAGGAGAGCUCAAAAUGAGUUUGAGCUCAAGGUGAAGAAGAUAAGGAGCGACAACGGGUCCGAGUUCAAGAACCUUCAAGUGGAGGAGUUCCUUGAGGAGGAAGGGAUCAAGCACGAGUUCUCCGCUCCCUACACACCACAGCAAAAUGGUGUGGUAGAGAGGAAGAAUAGGACGCUAAUCGAUAUGGCAAGGACGAUGCUUGGAGAAUUCAAGACCCCCGAGCGUUUUUGGUCGGAAGCCGUGAACACGGCUUGCCAUGCCAUCAACAGGGUCUACCUUCACCGCCUCCUCAAGAAGACUUCGUAUGAGCUGCUAACCGGUAACAAACCCAAUGUAUCUUACUUUCGUGUAUUUGGGAGCAAGUGCUACAUUCUAGUGAAGAAAGGUAGAAAUUCUAAGUUUGCUCCCAAAGCAGUAGAAGGGUUUUUAUUAGGUUAUGACUCAAAUACAAAGGCGUAUAGAGUCUUCAACAAAUCAUCGGGUUUGGUUGAAGUCUCUAGCGAUGUUGUAUUUGAUGAGACUAAUGGCUCUCCAAGAGAGCAAGUUGUUGAUCUUGAUGAUGUAGAUGAAGAAGAUGUUCCAACUGCCGCUAUGCGCACCAUGGCGAUUGGUGAUGUGCGACCACAGGAACACUUGGAGCAAGAUCAACCUUCUUCCUCACCCAUGGUGCAUCCCCCAACCCAAGAUGGCGAACAGGUACCUCAAGUGGAGGCGCAUGAUCAAGGGGGAGCACAAGAUGAUCAAGUAAUGGAGGAAGAAGCGCAACCAGCACCUCCAACCCAAGUUCGAGCGAUGAUUCAAAGGGAUCAUCCCGUCGACCAAAUUCUGGGUGACAUUAGCAAGGGAGUAACUACUCGAUCUCGAUUAGUUAAUUUUUGUGAGCAUUACUCCUUUGUCUCUUCUAUUGAGCCUUUCAGGGUAGAGGAGGCCUUGCUAGAUCCGGACUGGGUGUUGGCCAUGCAGGAGGAGCUCAACAACUUCAAGAGGAAUGAAGUUUGGACACUGGUGCCUCGUCCGAAGCAAAAUGUUGUGGGAACCAAGUGGGUGUUCCGCAACUAACAGGACGAGCACGGGGUGGUGACGAGAAACAAGGCUCGACUUGUGGCAAAAGGUUAUGCCCAAGUCGCAGGUUUGGAUUUCGAGGAGACUUUUGCUCCUGUGGCUAGGCUAGAAUCAAUUCGUAUCUUGCUAGCAUAUGCCGCUCAUCAUUCUUUCAGGUUGUACCAAAUGGAUGUGAAGAGCGCUUUCCUCAACGGGCCAAUCAAGGAGGAGGUGUACGUGGAGCAACCCCCUGGCUUCGAGGAUGAGCGGUACCCCGACCAUGUGUGUAAGCUCUCUAAGGCGCUCUAUGGACUUAAGCAAGCCCCAAGAGCAUGGUAUGAAUGCCUUAGAGACUUUCUAAUUGUUAAUGCUUUCAAGGUUGGGAAAGCUGAUCCAACUCUUUUUACAAAGACAUGUGAUGGUGAUUUGUUUGUGUGCCAAAUUUAUGUCGAUGACAUAAUAUUUGGUUCUACUAACCAAAAGUCUUGUGAAGAGUUUAGCAGGGUGAUGACGCAGAAAUUCGAGAUGUCGAUGAUGGGCGAGUUGAACUACUUCCUUGGGUUCCAAGUGAAGCAACUCAAGGAUGGCACCUUCAUCUCCCAAAUGAAGUACACGCAAGAUCUGCUAAAGCGGUUUGGGAUGAAGGACGCCAAGCCCGCAAAGACUCCGAUGGGAACCGACGGACACACCGACCUCAACAAAGGAGGUAAGUCCGUUGAUCAAAAAGCAUACCGGUCCAUGAUAGGUUCUUUGCUUUACUUAUGUGCUAGUAGACCGGAUAUUAUGCUUAACGUAUGCAUGUGUGCUCGAUUUCAAUCCGAUCCUAAGGAGUGUCACUUAGUGGCGGUGAAGCGAAUUCUUAGAUAUUUAGUUGCUACGCCUUGCUUCGGGCUCUGGUAUCCAAAGGGGUCUACCUUUGACUUGAUUGGAUACUCAGACUCCGAUUAUGCUGGAUGUAAGGUCGAUAGGAAGAGUACAUCGGGGACGUGCCAAUUCAUAGGAAGGUCCCUGGUGUCAUGGAACUCUAAGAAACAAACUUCUGUUGCCCUAUCCACCGCUGAGGCCGAGUAUGUUGCCGCAGGACAGUGUUGCGCGCAACUACUUUGGAUGAGGCAAACCCUCAGGGACUUUGGCUACAAUCUGAGCAAAGUCCCACUCCUAUGUGAUAAUGAGAGUGCUAUCCGCAUGGCGGAAAAUCCUGUUGAACACAGCCGCACAAAGCACAUUGACAUCCGGCAUCACUUUUUGAGAGACCACCAGCAAAAGGGAGAUAUCGAAGUGUUUCAUGUUAGCACCGAGAACCAGCUAGCCGAUAUCUUUACCAAGCCUCUAGAUGAGAAGACCUUUUGCAGGCUGCGUAGUGAGCUAAAUGUCUUAGAUUCGCGGAACUUGGAUUGAAUUGUAGCAUACAUGUGUUUAUGCCUUUGAUCAUGUUCAUUCUGCAUUUUGUUGCUUAUUUUGGUGCUCAAGUUGUACAAACACUCCCUGGACCUCACAAGUCCGUUGCAAAGUGAUGCACAUGUUUAGGGGGAGAUGUGUUACAACUUGACCCUCUGAGACUAACCAUGUGCUUGAGUUUUUGAUGCUUUAGUCUCAAAGAAGGAUUGAAAGGAAAAAGGUGGACUUGGACCAUGAAAGACUUCCACUGCACUCCGAUGAGAGGGUAACUUAUUCCAAGUUCAUCUCACGUACUCUUAUUGCCUUUGUAUUCUUAUUGAAGAUUUUGGUGAGGCAAUGGGGUUAAAGGGCCAAAGUUGAUCCCGUUUUGGUGCUUGAUGCCAAAGGGGGAGAAAAUAAAGGCCAAAGCAAUAAAUGGAUCAGCUACCACUUGAGAAAUUUUGAAAAUAGUAGAAUAUCAAAAGUUGGUUUCUUGUGGGGAGAAAUAGUAGAAUAGAGCUUUUGGUUUGUCAAAACUCUUGUAUUGUCUCUUUUAUCAAAAGUUGGUUUCUUGUGGGGAGAAAUGUUGAUUAUGGGAAAAAGGGGGAGUUUUUGAAAUCUUUGAUCAAUCUCUUUUGGAAUGACUCUCUUUAUGCUUCAACAUGUGUGUUUGACUUAGAGAUAGAGAUUUGAGUUUGAUUUGCAAAAACAAACCAAGUGGUGGCAAAGGAUGAUCCAUAUAUGCCAAAUUGAAUCAAAAUGAAUUUGAGUUUUAUUUGAAGUGAUUUUGCACUUGUUCUAGUUGCUUUAUGUUGUGUUGGCAUAAAUCACCAAAAAGGGGGAGAUUGAAAGGGAAAUGUGCCCUUGGGCCAUUUCUAAGUAUUUUGGUGAUUGAGUGCCAACACAAGUGCUUAAAUGUAAAUCUAUGCCCAUGGAUGGACAAGUUGCAAAUCAAAAGUAAAGGUAUGUUUCUAAGCCUUAAUACAUUGGUUUUGUGUACUAAUAUACUUGUCUAAGUGUUAGAAACAGAAAGAAGAGAAGAGUUGGCUGUGUACAGCCAUAAGGCUAUUUCGGUCUGGGGCACCGGACUGUCCGGUGGUGCACCGGACAGUGUCCGGUGCGCCAGGCUGCCUCGGGCGAAGAGGCCGCUCUCGGGAAUUUGCCGACGGCGUACGGCUAAAAUUCACCGGACUGUCCGGUGUGCACCGGACUGUCCGGUGAGCCAACGGUCGGCUGGGCCAACGGUCGGCCACGCGAUCUGCGCGAGACACGUGGCCGAGCCAACGGUUGAAAGGGGGCACCGGACUGUCCGGUGUGCACCAGACAUGUCCGGUGCGCCAACGGCUCCCAGAUCUUCAACGGUCAGCAACGGUCGGCUGAGCUGUUUAAGGAAGGAAAUUGGGCACCGGACAGUGUCCGGUGCGCCCGACGACAGAAGGCAAGGAUGGCCUUCCAGAUUUGUUCUCAACGGCUCCUAGCUGCCUUGGGGCUAUAAAAGGGACCCCUAGGCGCAUGGAGGAGGACACCAAGCAUUCCUACAACAUUCCUAAGCACCAAGACAUCGAUCUCGCGCAUUCGUUUCAUUGUGAUAGCAUAUAGAGCUCUUGUGGAGUUGUGAACUCUUUGAGUUGUGUUGCGAGCUCUUGUUGCUACUUGUGUGCGUGUUGUUGCUCUGAUCUUUUGAAGUCUUGUGUGCGUUGCUCAUUCCCCCCUUGCUCUGUGUUUCUUUGUGAACUUCAAUUGUAAGGGCGAAAGGCUCCAAGUUGUGGAGAUUCCUCGCAAACGGGAUUGAGAAAAAGCAAGCAAAACACCGUGGUAUUCAAGUGGGUCUUUGGACCGCUUGAGAGGGGUUGAUUGCAACCCUCGUCCGUUGGGACGCCACAACGUGGAGUAGGCAAGCGUUGGUCUUGGCCGAACCACGGGAUAAUCCACUGUGUCAUCUCUGUGAUUGAUCUCUUGUGGUAUUGUGUUGUUGAGACUCCUUUAUAGCCACUUGGCAAUUAUUGUGCUAACACUUAACAAGUUUUUGUGGCUAUAAGUUUAAGUUUUACAGGAUCACCUAUUCACCCCCCCCCUCUAGGUGCUCUCAGACACUUCCUGGACGAAAACUCUGGGUGGGACCUGGGCUCGACUGGAUCCUAGCUUCGACAAUGCGUCUGCUGCUGUGUUGCAAUCUCUUUCCAUGUGGUGGAAUUCUAGCCCUUCAAACUUGUCUUCUAAUUUUCGGACGACCUUAUAGUACUUGCCCAUAGAAUCAGUCGAGCAAUCCCAGUCUUUAUUUAUCUGACUUAUGACCACCAGUGAAUCUCCAUAUACCAUUAACAUCUUAAUGCCCAGUGAUAUGGCAAUGUUCAAUCCGUGGAUCAGAGCCUCAUAUUCCGUUGCAUUAUUUGAUGCUGGGAAUGAUAAUUGAAGAGCAUAUUUGAGUUGUUCACCUCCAGGGGCAAUGAAGAGGAUUCCUGCGCCUGCUCCCUGCAGUUUCAGCGAGCCAUCGAAAUACAUUCGCCAUACUUCUGUAGCCUCCGGGUUGUCAGGUACUUGUUGCUCGGUCCAUUCUGAUACGAAGUCAACCAGUGCUUGAGUCUUUAUUGCUGUGCGAGGCCGAAACUCGAUGUCGUGAGCUCCCAGCUCGCAGGCCCACUUGGCUAUUAUCCCGAUGGCUUCUUUGUUGUAAAGAAUAUCCCAUAUUGGAAACCCGGUGACUACUAUGACUUUGUGGUCGUCAAAGUAGUGAUGGAGCUUACGAGCAGUUAGAAGUACCGCGUAUAAUAAUUUUUGAACUUGAGGAUACUUCUUUUUAGAGGGCCCCAGAACUUCACUGAUGAAGUAGACCGGAUGCUGUACUGGAUAUGCAUUCCCUUCCUCUGCCCGCUCGACUACUAACGCGGUGCUCACCAUGUGAGUCGUGCAGGAGAUGUAUAACAGCAGAUCUUGUGUCGGCUGAUCUGGCAUGGCUCGGCGUGGUGACUUUAGUACUGGUGGCGUGGUCAAGAACUUCUUUAGUGCAUCGAGAGCUUCCUGUGCUUUUGUGGUCCACUGGAACUUGUCCACUUUCUUGAGCAAUUUGUAGAAUGGUAAGCCUUUUUCUCCUAGCCUUGAUAUGAACCUGCUUAAGGCUGACAUGCAUCCAGUAAGCCUUUGCACCUUCGGUUACCGGUUUUGUCGGAAAUUAUCGGAUUUAUGUCUCGGAAUUUUCCGGAAUUGUAUCUCGGAAUUUUUCGGAAUUGUGUCUCGGAUGUUUUCGGAAUUUUUCCAACAUGUGAUUUUUCGCAUCGCCUGUACGUCUCAAGAUAAGGAUUACUUAUUUUUGUAUUUUUUGGACACCUUCAAUUUUUUUUGGGAUAGAUGGUGUUGGAAGGCAGUUGAGAUUAACGAUUUGGUCUUUUCCACACACUAGGCUUUAGGGUUUUCCUGUGUGGUUGUGAAAAACUAUUUAUGUGAGGAAAAAAUAUUUCAUAAGUUAGCAUGCCAUGUUAGCUAGAUCGAGUGGAUAUUAUGAAUUGUGAACUUUGAGUCUAUGAACUCGUCGGUGGUUUGGUGGUGAGGGCCGCCUGAAUGGCCACUCGGAAGCAUUCCGCAGCGCCUUGGAAGUCAGUGCGCACGGUGAUGAUUCCUUGUGGUACCGGCAUCUUCAAUAUCAUGUACGAAUAGUGUGGAAUGGCCAUGAAUUUUGCCAACCCUGGCCUGCCGAUGAUGGCAUUGUAUCUGCAGUCGAAGCUUGCUACCUCGAACCUCAGGAACUCGGUUCUGUAGUUUUCUGGAGUUCCAAAGGAGACAGGCAUGUAGAUGUGCCCAAGCAGGUAUUCUCCUUCGGUCGGCACAAUGCCGAAAAAAGGAGUGUCUGACUCGUGGAGCUCUUUGAGUGUGACUCCCAAGCCUAAGAGUGUUCGGGGGAAGGUGACGUUGAUGCUGCUUCCCCCGUCCACCAACACCUUUUUAAUCUGCUCUCUCGGAUCACCAGAUCGACGAGGAGCGGGUACUUGCCCGGAUGAUCGAAGUUGAGCCAUUGAUCCGCCCGAGUAAAGGUGAUCAGGUGUUCUGACCAUCGACAUAGGGCAGGAGCACUAGUGGCCGCCACCAGUGUCGAUCGUUGAGCUUCUGCUGCCUUUUGUUCUCUUGUGACCCGUGUUCGCCGAAGAUGAUGUUGACUUCUCCAUCGACGCGCGGGAACGCUCUGCCUCCUCCCCUUCCUGCUGCUGAGGUUGUCGAGGUUCUUCGGGUCCUCCUCGUGGUGGGGGAGGUGGUAGAGGUUGGAAGGGUCGACCAUUCCCGACAGAGUGCUUGAAGUCUCUGCAGUUUCGGAGGGUAUGACACAUAUCCUUGUGGUACGGGCACUGGGUGUCGAGGAUGUCGUCCAAUCUUUGUUCGCCUCCGUGGGGUGCUCCUCGGGCACGAGAGACGGGUGGUCCAGCGGCAUGGACUUCUUCACGAGGCCUCUUCACCCAGCGCUUGUCGGUUUGCUGGUUCGCGUCGCGCCGUGGUGCAGAUGGAGCGAGCUUCGUUCCCCCGAUGAGGUCCUAGGCACGCUCAUCGACGGUGAUGUAGAGGUCUGCCUCCCUGAACAGCUGUUCGGAAGUGGUCGACGCCUUUUGUAGUAUGGCUCGGACGAAGGCCGAGUCAUUAGAUCCUCGGUAGAAGUCCUCGAUCACUGCUGCUUCAGCAACCUCAGGAAUACGAUUUCUCAUGGUCUGAAACCUUUUGAGGUACGACCGAAGAGUCUCAUCCCCUCGGCGCCUGAUGGAUUUGAGGUCCCAUGGCUGCGCCGGCUUGUCGGAGAGGGAUUGGAAGUUGGCGAUAAAACGACGACUGAAGUCGCUCCAAUCGUCGAUGCAAUGUCGGGGUAGGUGUCGUAGCCAUUGCAGUGCAUCUUGCCCGAGGACGAUGGGCAAGUAUGCAGUCAUCACAUUUUCAAUUGCCCCAGCGGCACGGGCAGCGGUGGUAUAGACAGCCAACCAGCCUCCCGGGUCCUACUUAGGCUCGUACUUGUCGACGUUGGAGACUUUGAAGUUUGGGGGCCACCUAAUGGCCCUGAGACACGGAGUGAGCACAGAUACCCCACACGUGUCCUCUUGUCGACGAUUGUGGUAUCGGUCCCGGGGAGGGGAGUUGCCGAUGUGGUGCCUCGAUCGUCCCCGGGUUGUGCCACCAGUUGAAGCCGUUGCCGACUCAACCCUAGUGGCCUGACUUCGUGCAGGUAUGCCAUGAUCCCAAUCAUACUCUUCUCGGCACCGGAUCUCGUUCUCAUGUCGUCGCUCGCGUGAAGCAUUGAUGGAGCUCCGCGUGUCCGGCCGACUAUUGAUGGCGUGCCGUAGAUCGCUCGGAGGAUGAGCGAGAGGCAGAAGAUGAUUAGCUGCCCGAGUGAGCAGCCGCCGAUAGCCCUCAGCGUCUGGAUUCCGAGGGAGGCCAUCGGCAAUCCGAGCCAACACUCCACCGACCUCGCUCGGUGUGUUCAUGGCUCGGGCGAAGUCGGGGUUCAAGUUUCGUCCGAAGAGAGGGUUCUCUCAGCGUUGUCUCGCCUCUUGCUCGGCUUGCUCUUGAGCUUGCCGACGAUCACGUCGGCGGGAAUUCCUCAUUUCCCUGAAGACUCGUUCAUCAGGAGUUUCUCCCACCUUCGAGAUCUCAUCUCGUGAUACAGGCUGCGCCGGGUCUUGUUCUCCGGCUUCAUGAUGUCGCCGAGCAUUCUGGCGUCGGUUACUUCGUCGGUGAGCUUCUUGCUUAGGAGGUUCUUCCCCAGGCAGGGUUAGCUCGUCAUCGGAGAUGGGGGACGAUUCCACUCUUCCCCCGAUGAAGAGGACAUCAGGGUAAAAUGGAGUUGUCGUGACGACAAGCUUAUCUCUAUUCUCCUUUGAGGGCGAAGGUGCCAGAAGAGCAGCUUGACGGGUCUUUAUCACGUUUGCUUCUUUUAUCCUUGCAAUCCGCGUCCAUCUUUCCGUGGAUGAGGUGGACAACGGGGUUCUCCGAGUAGGCGAAUUCUCUAUUCCUGGCUUGCAGGAGGUAGUCUUUGCCCGGAGCGCUGCAAGUUGCACUUUUUCCUGCUCCGUUUCGGCUUUUUCGGAGAUUUUUAAGGAAGGCUUCUUCUCCGGUGGAUCCGCUAUACGAUGCAGAAUUCCUUCUUCGUCUGCUACAAACGAGAUGGUUCUGAAGCAGAACACGGAUCCAGGUCGGAGGACGAUCUUGUGUUGGAAAACGAUGGCCAUUGAGCUAGCUUGGAUCAGCGACACACCCCCUACCUGGCACGCCAGCUGUCGGUGUUUGGGACCCGACCGCACACCCGGGGUUACCCCUCGAGGUGCUUUUGGGUAGGACGGUGUUGCUGACUGUAGCUCGAUGGUUCGUGCUGGGCGCACGAGAGACGAUAGACAAUUUUAUACAGGUUCAGGCCGCUUAGAGAGGCGUAACACCCUACUUCAUGGUGUGGAUCUUUAUGUGGUGGGUUUACAUGGAGAUUCUCUAGUUCGAAGGAUGCUAGAGAAUGGAGUUGAUGGCUAAUGACUGACUUGGGUUUUGAUGGGGUGCCCCCUAGGCCUUAUAUACUCGUCCGUGGGGCGUUACAUGCGGGUAUGAUAAUUAUGUGCUCCUAAGUAAUAGUGAACCGACUGAACUUAUCUUCCUAUAAUCAUGCCAACUUAUCCUUGUUUAGUUCCAAUGUCUGAGGGCACUGCGUGGGAGAAUCAGAUCAACACUGUGGAUAAUGCUUAAACCCAAUGAGCCGUCUUGGCUCGAGUCUAUCCAAUUUUGCGUCGAUCCAUUCUGCUAGUGAUUCCUCCCCUGGCCCACGAAGGGAUGGCCUUGUGAAGUAAUGGGGCCAAAGUCUUUCGUGAGGCCUUCUAGCCUUCUAGUGGACCUGGGGGAUAUCUGUCCCCCACAGGGGGGCGCAUGGGGGGCGGCAGGGGCACGCCAAGACAGGCUAGGUCGGGUCAGACUAAGUCACGUCGUGGGUCGAAAAGUCACCGCACACCCAACCACUGAUCGGAAUCCAAUUGCGAAUCGAAAUCCGAAACGAGGCGAGACGAACGCACAAUUAAACACGACAUCAGGCAAAAGAAAUAUGUUUCAGCAUGCUGCAACACUCAUGUCAACUUAGGUUUUUUGUUCACACGCAAUACGGACACCAGUCGUUAUAUUGCUUUGAAAAUGGGAGGAUGGAGCAAAACGGGAAGAGAAAAGAGAGUAACACCUGAAUUUGGUGAGUAUUAAAGAAGAAAAAAUUAUAGCCCCAAAUUAAGGAAGUUACACUUGAGCUCCCUAAAAUCACUCGCAUUUCACUUGUUCCUCUUGGAACUCAUCUUCUCGGAGCUUCUCAUCAAGAAGGUGCGUCGCCGCAAUCCUUCGGUGGUGGAGUUCAGUAGUGACUCCGAUGAAAUCCAGGAGGAAUCACAUGUUCCUUCUCCUCCGUCUCGUCGUUCUCUCUCCAAGAGAGGACGAGGAUCUGGCCGAUUGGAAGGGGAGGGACCCUCGAUGCCCUCGCAACCUGCUCGCGAGGGGCGUCAAAAGGUUGGCGCCACUCAUCCUCGCCGAAGCACCUCCUUCGCAGGAUACGCUCCUUGCCAGGAGGAGGAUGGAUCUUUCGACGACGAGGUCGAACCUCCGUCGUCCGACACUCCCCUCGUCACCGGACUCCACAUGCAUCCGACGACCGUGUCUCGGGGACCAAAUGAACCUUCGGUCAACUUCUCUUUGAAGGGGGUGGACUCCCUUCAACGCUUAAGGUUCACAAACCCCACUUUCACACCUAGACAUCCUGGUGUUCAGGACCCUCGGUUCUAUAACCUUUUUCAAGCUGAUUUUUAUAAUUCUGUCAUCAUGUCUAAGAAGCACACAAUCAUUAGACAUCGUUUUAUUGACUGGGAGGGGUGUGAGAAUAUGGGAGAUGCUGACAUGACGUUGGCUCUCCGUAACUUAGAGAGAAAGGGGUUGAAAAACAUAAUGACUAUGGAGUACCCCUAGAACAACGAAGUAGUGGCUCAGUUCUAUGCCACUCUCUGGAUAAAGAAAGUUGACGAAAGAAGCUGAUGGGUACGACUACCCAGUUAUGUAUUUCUUUAUCCAGGGGGUCUGGCAUAAAGUUAGCUACCGUUGUUUUGUCCACAUCUUGGGCUUCUAUGAUGCAGAUAUUCAGGGCAGCAACAUGAAAGUCCAUGACAUUAGGUUGCCCAUGCAGGAAGAAACUGAAUUUAUUCGUAUUUCUAUGGAGCGGGAGUUUUGGAUCACUGCCAACAUGCAUAGGUACCUUAACUCUUUGUCCAGGAUGACCGUUCUCCCGAACGGCGGAAAUCAAAUGAAUGUCCUUGGGGAGAGUCGGGUUUUCCUUUUUCUCCUACUCCAAAUAGUCUUGCCCGCAUAAAUGUGUUUGACAUGAUCUGGGAAGAGAUCCUUCGUGCUUCCUGGUCUCCACCCAAGGGGUGUCUCCAUGCACCCUUUAUUAUGAAGAUGAUCGAAGUGGUCACCUAGACUCGCUUUGAGAAGACUGUCAAACACUCCCGCAAUGUACCAUACUCGGUUGAUUCCAGCAACCCAGCUGCUCGUACAAAGCGGGCUCCCUCAGGGUCUGGAGGCCCGGCUUCUUCUGAUGAGCCAUCUCCUCAGCCUCCUCAUCAUGAGUCCUCCUCUCGCGCCGCCGUUGCCUCACGUCUGAUGGACCGUAGCUGGAGAGGAAGUGGUCAGGGCCAGGGACGGGGUCGUGGCCGGGGACUAUUCAUUCGUCUGGCUAAGGGCAUUUUUGGCGCCUUCACCAUGUGCCGCGACCGGGCGAUCGAGGAGUCCGUGCACCAGCGCCAGACUGACAAGCUGCAUGAGGACUUUCGUCGUUAUGCUGCCGCCACAGGUCAUCCCCUGCCUCCUGGGUCCCCUCCGCCUCUGACCCCCACCUUCCCUGCCAACCUUAAUGAGUGGCACCAAUAGGAGUUUGGUGUACCAUUCAUUACUCCUGAGGAUGAGGCCGAGGAGUAUGGUGACUCCUACUAUACCUCGGCUCCUCCUCCUCCUCCCUAUUCAGGUCAGGGACCCAUUCCUGGUGACCCCAGGCCAUCCGGCUCCAGUCACUUUCCUCCUCCUUCCUACCUAGGUCAGGGACCCAUUCCUGGUGAUUCGAGGCCUUCUGGCUCCGGUUACCAUCACCAUCCUCCUCCUCAUCAUCAUCAGGGUAUGUCUUCUGCAUCUGGUUUUUCUGCUGGUGAUGAGCCCCCUCGGGACUCCUCAUUCGAGGAUGACAUGAUGUGGACUUUCUUUCCGGACUACCCUUCCUAUCCUCCAUCCUAUCCUCCUCUGGGAGGGUAUUGAGUCACGUGCUCUCUUUCUCUCUCUCUCUCUCUCCUCGUUUUUGGUCAUUGCUGACGGGGAGAAAAUCUAAAAAUCUAUGGCCAAGUCAUUUUUAUUAUGGUUCUUUAAUUCUUUCUUGUUUAUUUUUUUUGUUUUUUGGCCACUGUUGUGGCUUGUAUCUUUUUAUGAAUGGAUGUAAUAAAACAGUUGGCAUAUUAUUCAUUGUGUUAUGAUGGUCUUCCGGCCAUCAUCUUUUGCCCCAUCUGUUUGUAAUAAUUAUAUUGCCACGAAAUACAAAUGAUGUAUGUUUAGAAAUAAUCAUAUGCAUCACAACUCUCUUAAUGAUACUCUUGCACCCCUCGGAUGAUUGUAUUUAGUGUGGACUUGGUCACUACCUCUAAAUGUGUUGCCUAUUUGACAUAUCAUGUCAACACACUUGAUUCAAAAUUUGUGCACACAUUUAGGGGGAGCCAUCUACAUACAAUUGUUCAAAAGAACCUUACCACUUCAAAUGUUUAUCUUUUUGACCUUAUUUGUUUUGGCAUCAAUCACCAAAAAGGGGGAGAUUGUAAGUGCAAUCAACCCUAAGUGAGGGUUUUUGUGAUUUAAUGACAAAACAAAUAAGGGUACUAACAAUUUUGUUCUCAUCAUAUGUUUAGAAUGUACAGGAACUAAAGGAAGUAACAAGGACAAAAAGAAAAACUAUGCAGUUUCCUUGCAAGGACUUCAUGCGACGGACGUAUAAAACUCUAUGUAAAUCUUGAGUUGCAUGAUGUAAUUCUUCCUUAGUAGUUUUCGCACAGGUAAUGGUGUUUGCUAUAGCUCAAGCCCCCAAAUUCAAAAGCUAUUUUUGAAAACCAAAAAUCUGUUUAACAUUCUAUGGUUGACUAUGGUUAGGUUUGAGAAACCUAGAGUGUUCCUGUUGAAAAGCAGUUGAACUUGUUCAACUGCAGUUAAGCUUUUAAGCUGAACUAAAAUUCAGCUGAGUUGAGAUUUUUUUCAACUACAGUUGAGCUCUUCAGCUGAGCUGAACUUUAACUAAGUUGAGCUUUUUCAACUACAGUUGAGCUUUCUCAACUCUAGCUGAACUUCAACUUCAGUUGUGAACCUCUUUGACCAUACACCAGCUAAACUUGCCUCUUAGCAUUUGAGCUGGGGUUUUCUCCCCUAAACUCUCUGGUCAAGACUAGCUGAACUGGUCCUGAGGGGCAGUUCAACUGGUCUCUGACCCCUCUGACUUCUGACCAACAGUCUGCCAAUCAGACUAGCAGACAGGUCGCCAGAGAUGUCAGGGGCGGUUCAACCGCCCUAGGGGCGGUUGAACCGGUCUGGUCAACCUGGUCAGACUGCAGGUCAGUCUGUCAGUCAGUCUGACAGUCAGACUGGUAGAUAGUCUGCCUGACAUGCCAACGGCGGUUCAACCGGUUUUUAGCGGGGUCCUAGGUCAAACGGCUAGUUUUUGAGCUGUGACUAUAAAUAGGACCCCACACUCCCCUCUUCAAUGCUGCUGAACACCCCCACAUUUAUUGCUCACCUAACUUGAGACAAAAGCACUCCUCUCCCCUCUCUCUCACACUUUAAUCUUGCUCUAGAUUCAACUUUGUUGGAGGAGCUCUUGGGUGUGAGGUUUGUGCUUGUGCUCACGAUUUUGGUUUUUCCUCUCCCAUCUCAUUUAAGAUCUUGAGCUUGUUGCAAACACCUCUUGUGCGUUCUUGGUGUUCUUGAAACCCUAGGCUUCAAGACGGUUUGAGGUUUCUUGGGAGUUUCCAAAUUUGUGGACAGCCCCAAGAAGUUUGUAAUUCCGCUCUUGUGAGCAACGUUUGAGAUAAGGAAUCCCUUGACCUUGGUGGUCGGGUUUUGGAGGAUUAGGGUUGAAAAAGACCUGGCCCUUUGUGGGCUCCUCAACAGGGAGUAGGACACCUUUGUGGUGUGGCCGAACAUCGGGAUAAAUCUAGUGUUUCGUGUUCUUGCUUGCUUUGCGCUUGAGAUAUUUUUGUUAGCAAGAUAGACAUAUAGAUUUUCUUGUCGUGUGGAUCUUGUGGUGAAAUAUCUUUCAUAUUUUCACUCUCCACACUUUGACUUAGUUACAUUCCACUUCUCGAAAGGAUUCGCAACAUACAUUUUCGCUUAGAUAAUAGUCUAAAGUUUGCAAAACAGUUGGAUUGGUUCAAAGUGGUUCAACUUGCCCAUGUAGCAGUUGAACCGGCCUACACCAGUUGAACUGUGGAUUUAACAAUCUUUCGAAGUUUGUGUUGAAAAUUUUCAGAUUAGCCUAUUCACCCCCCCUCUAGGCUACUUUCAAUGUAUCAUACCAACAAACCUAAGAACAUAUAUCGCUGAAAGCUGUUGGCCACACACGUGAACAUGGAUCAGGACCUCCAAUGAAGUCCAACUAGAGUGAACAAUAAGACUAAGCAUGUAAAAUAGGGUGCAAGAUGCGUAUUAGGCUUUUGAGUUGCGUGUGUGCAUAUGUACAGCUAGCGUGUCGUGGAAUGUAGGAACGGGUAAAGGAAUACACAUGUGGUAGUGUAAAAUCAAUCUAAUAGCAUGAAGCAUAAAGGUAAAUAUGAAUUGAAAUUACAUGUGAUAACUAGUAGAUCUUGCCAAUAAUAACGCUUAGUACAAGAUCUAUCGAGGUAAGGUAGUGACUGUGGGGGACAAAUAUCCUUCGGCUCCACUAGAAGGAUAAAAGACCUCACGAAAGGUCCAAGGGCCCCAUAAUUUGUAAGGUCAUCCCCUCGUGGGCCUGGGAGGAACAACCAGUGGAACGGAUUAAUGCAAGGCAAGGUCGGCGCAAGCCCAGACGGCCCAACAAAUUCGAGCAGUAAUCACAACAGUGCCCCGACCUUCCCGCGCAGGAGCCCCGUACAACGGAACCAAGCGAGGAUGGGUCGGCUAAAUUAUAGGAGGAUAGACUCAGAUGGUUAACUAUUUCUUAGGCACGCGUUGUUAUCAUAUCUACAUGUAAUGCCCCACGGUCGAGUAUAUAAGGCCCAGGGGCACCCCUUCAGAACGAUCACUCAUUACUUAGCCAUUCACCCCGCUCUCUACGUUUUCCAGCACUAGAGAACUCCCUUGUAACCCAUUGAAAGGGAAAUAGGCUUUAAACCUUUUCCUAAAUGAUUUUGGUGGUUGAAUGUCCAACACAAAUAAUUGAACUAACUAGUUUGCUCUAGAUUGCAUGUUCUACAGGUGUCAAAAAUUCAACAAAAACCAAUAGAAAGAACAAGACAGGGUUCAAAACAAAGGAGCAAAAAGAAACCAAAGUGCUCCCUGGUCUGGCACACCGGACUGUCCGGUGUGGCACCGGACAGUGUCCGGUGCACCACCGGACAGUGUCCGGUGCACCAGGGAGGAUUGCCUUCAAACUCUUCACCUUCGGGUUUCUCAGGCGCAGCCCAAUAUAAUUCACCGGACUGUCCGGUGCACCACCGGACAGUGUCCGGUGCUCCAGAGUGAAGCGGCUCUGAACUGGCCGGCUUCGGGAAAGUGGGAGGUGGCUCCGCUAAAAUUCACCGGACUGUCCGGUGUGCCAGCGAAGCAACGGUCAUCUGCGCGCAACGGUCGACUCUGCAAAGUGUACAGUUGAAUUCAGAGUGUCAGAGCAGAAGUCAGAGGGGCACCGGACUGUCCGGUGCUGCACCGGACUAUCCGGUGCCACAUGAGGACAAAGCCUCCAACGGUCGACCAGCUCCAAUCUCAACGGAUAGGAUGACGUGGCUGGCGCACCGGACAUGUCCGGUGUGCACCGGACUGUCCGGUGCGCCCAUCGCCAGCAGCUUCUCCAACGGCUACAAAAUUGGAUGGUGGCUCUAAAUACCACCCCAACCAGCCACUUCAAGGUGUGGGAGUCCAAGCAACAUUCCAAGUCAUCUAGUUGACAUACUCAAGCCCUCCCAUCCACCUAUAUUCAUUGAUACAUCCUAUACACAAGAUCUAGCCCACUACAACCAACACAAGUGCCACAAAAGAGAGAGCGAGCAAUUGAGAGCUACUCAAUUGAGUUUAGCCCUAGUGACUUGUGAGAUUCCUUGAGAGAUAGUGUGUGCUACAUCUUUGUGUUCAUUUGCGCGUGGAGUUUUGACUCCCAUUCGAACUUCCUCCAAAGUGUUGGAGGCUUGUAAAAGCUAGCAAGAGACACCAAAGAGUGUGGUGGUCCUUGCGGGAUCGAGAGUGAUUCUUGAGAAGAAGAAGAGCUCGCCGAUCCUUGUGUGAUCGGUGGAGAGAGGGAAAGGGUUGAAAAAGACCCGUCCUUAAGUGGACUCCUCAACGGGGACUAGGCCUUCGAAGGCCGAACCUCGGUAAAACAAAUCACCCGUGUCUCGUGUGCUUAUUGCUUGUGAUUUGUUUGCUUUCUCUCUCUCUAAAGUUUUCUUGCACUAUUCUUCGCUAUCAUCAUUUUGUGUUGCCUCAAGAUCCACUCUUAUUUAGUGGAGCAACACCUUGCAAGAAAGAACUUUGUGUUCUUGCUCUUCUUGUCUAAGCCGUCUUGCUUUACUAUCCAUAUAUCUAGUAGUUGUAUUAAUUACCAAUUCCGCAUUAUUUCAAAGCAACUCUCUUUACAAGCAAGGACUUAGUUUCUAUACUCCGAUUAUUAUAUAUCUUGUUCUAACCACUAAUCAAGGGAUCUAGUUGGGGGAUAAAAUUUUAAUUUACAGGUUUCGCCUAUCCACCCCCCCUCUAGGCGACUUUCAAUUGGUAUCAGAGCUAGGCACUUCAUCUUGAGUCUAACAACUCGAAGUGAUGGCUCGUAGAAGAUCCCAAAAGAACAAGAAGUCCAAAGAGAACAAGGAGGUAACUCUUGAGAUAUUACUUUCCGAUUGUUCUAAUUAUGUUUCUUGGUCCACUAGAGUGAUAAAUGCUUUUAGAACCAUAGAUCCUCAAUUAGAACAAAUUUUAGACAAGAGUAUUAUUCCUCUUAACUAUGCUAGGGAAAAUGCCUCCGAAGAAGAUUUAAGAUGUAUACGCUUAAAUUAUCUAGCUUAUGACAUCUUAAGUAAAUCCCUUAGCAAAGAAGAUUACCAUGCCUUCAUAAUAAAAUAUGACAAACCCAUUUGUGAUGUGCAUGAUAUUUGGACUAGAAUUAAAAGAAAAUUUAAUAAGUCCAAACAUGAUAGUUCAUUUUGUGCUUCUACUUCCUUUGGUCUUUGUGAUACUAACCCUUGCAAGGAAGAAGAAGAAAAUGAACGAUGGAGACCAAACGAUGAAUCCACCUCUCCAAAAGGUUUGUCUUCCCAUUUCGAUUCCCACAUGUGUUGUGUGGCUAAUGAAAAUGAUAGCGGAAGCACAAAUGAGGAUGAGGAGGAAGAAAGAAGCUUUGUGCAUCUCUACGCUCGCCUAAGCCAAGAAGAUAAGGCGGUCAUGCUCAAACUUCUAGAAAGAGCGAGAGAGCAAAGCGAAGCUCGUCAAAGGCUAGAAGAUAUUCUCUCCAUAAAAAUGCUACACUUUGACGAGUUGACUAAAGAACAUGAGGAGCUAAAGUGCUCUCAUGUUGAUUUGGUCCAAAGGUAUGAAACUAUUUCAAUUGAGCAAGAUAACGCUUUACAUUGUAUCGCUCAAUUAGUAAAUAGGAAUACCUUGCUUAAGGACCAAGUAGAAAAGCUAAAAGUUGAAAAUCUAGCUUUUCAAGAAAAAUAUGAUAUGCUCCUAUGCUCUCAUGAAAAUCUUAGAGAUGAUCAUAUCAUAUUGGACAUUGCUCAUGAGGUUGUAAUAGAAAACUUAAAAUCCCAACAACCUCACUCAUGCACAUGUAUUCAAAUAGAAACUAUAUUACCAUGUGCUAAUGCUUGUUGUCCGUCAACAAGCAAAUCUUCCUUUGAGCUAGAAUUUGCAGGAACAAAUGAUGAUACCUAUCAAAAGCUCAAAGAAGAAAAUGAGAGGCUUAAGAUGAGCUUGACACAACUUAAAGGGAAGUGUAUUGCUCAACCUUCUCAAGAUAACCGUGACCACAUGGUUAAGAAGCUUGAGACGGGAACAACCGAAUCAUGCACUAACUCCCUUGAAGAAAAUGUCAAGGACUUGAGGAUUGUCAAGAAGAGGAAACAAAAGAAGAAAAUCAAUACCUCUUCCAAAAGCCUCAACCGUGCCUCCAUACAAGGUAACAUCCAAGGUAAUAAUCAAGCCACACUUCACACUAAGAAAAAUAAGAAGUGUAGUGAAUGCUUUGAAGAGGGACACUUGAUUAGGUCAUGUCCCUACAUUAAAAAUUGCUUAAUUAUUAACAAGGAUGAUAGACUUUGUUUUAAAUGCUCAAAGAAGGGACACUUAAUCAAAUCUUGUCCCCAUUUGAAACAAAAAGGCAUAGGGUUAGAAAAGAAAGUUCCUACUAACCGUGUAGCAAGCGACAAACAAGGAAAGAAGAAAUUUUCAAGACUUCAAAAACGCCUAUGCUACACAUGCCGGAAAAAGGGACAUCAAUGCAAGGAUUGUCCCAUUGGUAACAACCCCACCUCUAGCUUGUCAAUCAUUUUGCAUGUAACUAGGCAACCCAAAAUUGCAACUUGUGCUAGAAAGGUAACAAGUUUACCAAGCGCUAACACAAAGGACUUUUGGGUUCCUAGAUCUUUGUUUACUAAUCUUAACGGACCCAUCAAGCGAUGGGUACCAAAAUGUACUUGACAAGCUUUGCAGGAAGAGGAGAUGGUAUGAAGCUUUGGGAUGCUUGAGGGAGUAAAUUCAAUUCUUAUUAGUAGGGAUGAAAACGGUCGGAAACGGUAUUUAUUCGGUAAUCAGUUUUUUCUUUGAUUGCGAAUAAAUAGAAUAUAUAAUCUACCAUACAAAUUUGUAUUCUUGUUUUUAAUAUCUAGCUUGUAAAGAUUCAUAAAAGAUAAACCUUAAAUUCAUCCUAUAUUUUCUUAAAUAAUGGAUAUAAACUUCGGUAUGGAUUCGGAAACAAAUUCGGUAAUUUUUUCAACUAUUUGUGUUGUAGGGACCAAAUAACACUUAAAACAAUUUAUGUAAUAUUUUAUUCAUAUUUGUACUAAUGUGCUUGAUAACAUAGAAAAAGACCAACAUCAAAUUUUAUACAUAUCUAUUUUAAAAUAUUAAAUUUGUCCUAACAGUUCGGAUUACCACUUUCAUCCCUACUUAUUAGCUCAAGCUAUCAAUCUUCAGAUGAUCUACACUUUCAAGAUUGACCCAAAGUUAUUUUAAUUUGUUAUAUUCAAAACUCAUAUCAUCUCGGGAAGAUAUUAAUGUUGUAGGAAAUAAAGAAUCAUCAUGUGCGGAAAAUCAAGGCCUACAACAUGAAGGAAUGUCAAAGGAUGGUAACACUUAUGCUUUUAAGUGCAAGUAUAUUAAAUUAUCAUUUCUUAUAUGCCCUGUGUAGUCACAUAGAAAAAGGAAGCACUUAAGAUAUUUUUAAAAAAUUAUGUCACCAUUCUUUGAAGAAAUUCCUCUCAUAUGGUAGAUUGUGCAUUCAUCAUUGCUAUAUUAUGACAAUCUACAUGCUUAAAUUGUUGCAAGUUCCCAUGGCAUAUUUUACUUUAAUUAUCCUUUGUUGCCAUGAUCUAGAUAUAGAAAAAGAUUCCAUGUUCUUAAAAGAAUAAAGUGUCAUGUAAGGGAUUCAAAUCCUAAGGACACUUAUAAAAAGGGGGGAAUCUUUCUUUAUGUCUAGAAUAGUGAGACUAAUGUUUUUAUCUAAGUAACCCAAGUAGUCUCACAUUUAGAGAAUAAGUUUCUCUAUGGAAAUGUGUAAUCCAUCAUAACAAGAAAAAUCAAUCCAAUAAUUUAUGUUGUAUGCUUUAUUGCUUAAAUUGGAUAUGAUUCUUCUACAUUUAUCGCUCUCCAUGUUAUGAAUUAGAUUUAUUCCCAUAAUCUUAAGGAAUUAACUAUGCUUGUUUUAUAAGUCAAAACUAAGCAUUCUUCCUGGAAUAAUCUAGUUCAUAUUCCAUGCUUUAGUAAUCCACUUUUCAUUCUUUAUCAAAAUGAUUACAAAAAGGGAAACUAGUGCUUGUGUUGCUAAUAACAUAUCUCUUGAGCUUACAUAUGAAAAUCUACAAGAGAAUAAGUGCAAGUCACAAGCCUAAAGGGUUACUCGUUGCCCAAAGGAAGAAAGGUAAAAGCAAAGGUAUGGGAACUCAUCCUCUUAAUUAAAUAUAGUUCCCUUCAAUGGUUAUUUACUCUAAAUUAUCAUUCUUGAAGAAUAGAUUCUUUAUUGGACUAAAUUUGUCUAGAUGUGCAUUCAAUCACAUUCUCAUAAGUGCACUUGUCCAUUAGAAUCUAAUUCAUGCCUUUGCUGUAUUUAUUUUCAUAUUGAUAUGCUUCUAAGGUAUGAUAUUAAAAUUCAAUAUGAAGAAGUAAACUUCCUGUGAUUAAUCAAAAAUGUUAAAAGGUGCAUAUUCCUCUUUUCUAAUGAUGUGCACUAAUAAUAAGGAUUUUACUUCAUGUCUGUGUGACUUGUGGAUGAUGAAUUGGGCAUAUUAACUAUCUAAAGAAAUCAUCCUUCAUCAUAUACUCCCUUGCGCUAUUGACAUCUCUCUUGAGUAUUUUCAAUGAGUUUGGAAGGAAAAAGAGACAACUACAAAGGGAGGACACUCAAAUGAAAAAGGAGGAUCAUCAAGAACCACAACACCUACUUGGACAAUAAGGUCUUCACAACAAUCAAUGGUGUGGUUGUAAGCAUUCUAAAUCUUUUUCAUUGUGAUAAUACAAGGCUUAAGUUGUUUAUUGCAAAUUUUAUAUGCCUUGAUCAAGAUGUAUAAUGGAUCUCCCUUUAUGUCUUUAAAAGUGAAUGCAUCAAAAUCAAUUCUUUCAAUUACUUGAUGCAUAUUUUUAGGGGGAGUACAUUCUUACAUUUUUGAUUAUGUUAAGACUAUUGCUUUAUCUUAGUAAUUUCAUAUAGUCUCUUGCAUGAGAAUAAUGUUUCUCAUAUAGUAUGCUACUACACAUGAAUCCAACUUGUUAAAAUAAUGUCGCUUUUAUCAAGGAUUGUAGCUUUCAUUGUUAUAGUAGCAUGCUUAUUGGAUUCUCCUAUUUUAAGCUUAAAUUCCUAUUCCAAUAUGUUACUCUCUUGAUCGCAUCCAUUGUUUGUUUGAUCAUAGAAUAACAUCAAAUGACACUUAGUGCCUCAUGUUCUUUCCAAUCGAUACCUCUCUUGAUAUGCACUAAGUUAAAAGGAGAAUUCAUGAUUCAUCUUUACAAUUUGUGAUCCACUUAAUAUAUGUUAACCAUGACUUAGAAAAGGAUCACUAGUUGUAAGAACUCUCUCUUGUGCAAAAUAUUUUCACACAUUGUCAUUGAGCAUAGGUCUUAAGCAAACAAGACUAAGGACAAAAGCACAAUGAAGAGGGCGUCUACAAGUAAAGGUACAAAACGGGUAAAACUUAUUCCUAUCAUUUACAUAUGUACCUAAAAUCUACCUCUUAUAUACACUCUUUGCAUAUCUUGUAUAAAAGGAAGAGAAAGCAUGUCCUUUGCAUUUAUCCCUGCUUCAUACCUAGUUUAACCUCUUAAAAUUUCACUCAUGCAUUAUUGCAUCUUUGCUAAAACUAGAUGAAGUGGUUCUAUUGUCAAAGAGCUUAAAGCUUAACCUUGUAACGAGGAUAAGCUACCUUUGUUCCAAAGGUGGAUGGUCCUUAAGUCUCUUUGAAAUCUUUAAAGGAAAAUGCUUAAAAUGUUUGCAACAUGCUUUCAUAAGUGCAUAAACUGUCUUGAGCAUCACACAUAUACUAUGACACAAUGCACUUCACUUUCUCUAUGAUAUAGACUUGUUCUCAUUAACCUAAUUAUGUGCACUUGGCAUUUAAGACCAAAAUAUGUAUUCCUCUCAAGGCACAUAUUUAGGGGGAGAAAUCUAUAUUAUAUAGAACUAUGAUCAUGCUUAAUUGACAUAUCUCUUGAUCAUAUCUCUUUCAUUUUGGUACAAAUGCAUAUAUCCUAUUAUUCACGUACCAUGACUACGACUAAUGUGUUUCCAAGUAUAUUACUAUGCUAAGUCGUAGAUUGAAAGGGAAAUGGAGUCUUCGGCGAAGACAAGGCUUCCACUCAACUCUAUUGGUAUUAUCUACCCUUCGCCAUCACUCCACACUAGCUCUCCACAUUGGUAUAAUCUUUCACUCUAUAUUAUUUGCCAAAGGGGGAGACAACUUAUAGAAAGGGCUUAUAUUUCACUCAAAGUAUCCGUUUUUGGCGAUUCAUGCCAAAGGGGGAGAAAGUAUUAGCCCAAAGCAAAAGGACCGCACCACCACCAGUUUUGUUUUUGCAAAAGAUUUUGGAAAGGUCUUGAAAUGAUGAAUUUUCAAUUGGUAUAGUCUUUCAAUUUGCUUUUAAAGAAGUAUUUUCAAAUUGGUAUCUUACUUGUGAUAUAAUUUCAAAUUGAUUUACCCUCUUCAAAAUUAAUAUCAAAACCCUCUUGAACUCUAAGAGGAAGAUUUCAUUAAGGGGGAGUUUUGUUUAAGUCAAAGGAAAAGCAUUUGAAACAGGGAGAGAAAAUCUCAAAUCUUGUAAAUGCUUCUCAAAAUUCUUAUUCAUCUACCUUUGACCAUUUGCAAAAACAAAACAUGUGGUGCAAGCAUGGUCCUAAAUGUCAAAAAUAUAAAGAAACCAUUCAUGCAUAUCUUAUGAAAUCAAUAUUGGUUUAAUUCCAAGAAAUCUUUGCACUUACCUUAGGCAAACUAGUUCAAUUAUGGUCUUAUAUAUGUGCUUUGGUUUGUGUUGGCAUCAAUCACCAAAAAGGGGGAGAUUGAAAGGGAAAUAGGCUUUAAACCUUUUCCUAAAUGAUUUUGGUGGUUGAAUGUCCAACACAAAUAAUUGAACUAACUAGUUUGCUCUAGAUUGCAUGUUCUACAGGUGUCAAAGAUUCAACAAAAACCAAUAGAAAGAACAAGACAGGGUUCAAAACAAAGGAGCAAAAAGAAACCGAAGUGCUCCCUGGUUUGGCACACCGGACUGUCCGGUGUGGCACCGGACAGUGUCCGGUGCACCACCGGACAAUGUCCGGUGCACCAGGGAGGAUUGCCUUCAAACUCUUCACCUUCGGGUUUCUCAGGCGCAGCCCACUAUAAUUCACCGGACUGUCCGGUGCACCACCGGACAGUGUCCGGUGCUCCAGAGUGAAGCGGCUCUGAACUGGCCGGCUUCGGGAAAGUGGGAGGUGGCUCCGCUAAAAUUCACCGGACUGUCCGGUGUGCCAGCGAAGCAACGGUCAUCUGCGCGCAACGGUCGACUCUGCAAAGUGUACAGUUGAAUUCAGAGUGUCAGAGCAGAAGUCAGAGGGGCACCGGACUGUCCGGUGCUGCACCGGACUGUCCGGUGCCACAUGAGGAUAAAGCCUCCAACGGUCGACCAGCUCCAAUCUCAACGGAUAGGAUGACGUGGCUGGCGCACCGGACUAUCCAGUGCGCCCAUCGCCAGCAGCUUCUCCAACGCCUACAAAAUUGGAUGGUGGCUAUAAAUACCACCCCAACCAGCCACUUCAAGGUGUGGGAGUCCAAGCAACAUUCCAAGUCAUCUAGUUGACAUACUCAAGCCCUCCCAUCCACCUAUAUUCAUUGAUACAUCCUAUACACAAGAUCUAGCCCACUACAACCAACACAAGUGCCACAAAAGAGAGAGCGAGCAAUUGAGAGCUACUCAAUUGAGUUUAGCCCUAGUGACUUGUGAGAUUCCUUGAGAGAUAGUGUGUGCUACAUCUUUGUGUUCAUUUGCGCGUGGAGUUUUGACUCCCAUUCGAACUUCCUCCAAAGUGUUGGAGGCUUGUAAAAGCUAGCAAGAGACACCAAAGAGUGUGGUGGUCCUUGCGGGAUCGAGAGUGAUUCUUGAGAAGAAGAAGAGCUCGCCGAUCCUUGUGUGAUCGGUGGAGAGAGGGAAAGGGUUGAAAAAGACCCGUCCUUAAGUGGACUCCUCAACGGGGACUAGGCCUUCGAAGGCCGAACCUCGGUAAAACAAAUCACCUAUGUCUCGUGUGCUUAUUGCUUGUGAUUUGUUUGCUUUCUCUCUCUCUAAAGUUUUCUUGCACUAUUCUUCGCUAUAAUCAUUUUGUGUUGCCUCAAGAUCCACUCUUAUUUAGUGGAGCAACACCUUGCAAGAAAUAACUUUGUGUUCUUGCUCUUCUUGUCUAAGCCGUCUUGCUUUACUAUCCAUAUAUCUAGUAGUUGUAUUAAUUACCAAUUCCGCAUUAUUUCAAAGCAACUCUCUUUACAAGCAAGGACUUAGUUUCUAUACUCCGAUUAUUAUAUAUCUUGUUCUAACCACUAAUCAAGGGAUCUAGUUGGGGGAUAAAAUUUUAAUUUACAGGUUUCGCCUAUCCACCCCCCUCUAGGCGACUUUCACCCAUCACAUAAAGCACUCUCGCCAGAACGUAGGGUGUUAUGCAUCUCGAAGCGGCCCGAACCUGUACAUCAUUGUCCACUAUUUCUCGUGCGCCCAACACGAACCAUCGAGCUACAGUCGGUAACACCGUCCUACUACUAAAAUCACCUUGAGGGGUAACCCUGGGUGCGCGGUCGGACCCAAAACACCGACAGUGACACCAUGUCUCCCUUACACGAUCAAAGACCGCAUCAGGGUAGCAUCAUGCUUACCUUGGAAGAUCCUUGGAGAUGGGGUGGCGAUAUGCCAAGAGGAUGAGAAGCACCAACUACUUAGUGAACAUGUGGCAUCCUUCUUUAUUCAUGAGCAUAUCUGUUACAAUACAUAGCCUCAUGAGCUAAAGUGAUAAUAACUUGCUGACUUGCAUUUCCAUCUAAUCUAUUACUUAUUUUCAGUAAAGCAUAUUUCUAUGUUACAUGUUUACUUUCCUUACAUACAAAUACUUCAAUUGUGGAGUUUGUCCAACAAGGCAUCCUAUACUCAGCUAGGAAUAGGUGCCAACACAUGCCCCUGGUUUUGGUUUACUCUUUUAUGCCAAAGCUAAAUCUUUGGCUUGUGAAAUAUUGUCACCUCUGUCAGCGGUCAAGUCAUGCCAGCCGACUCUUCAUUAUGUAGAUUUGCCUUUGGUUUUGGUCCUACGCUUCUACUUUAAGUCGUUUGCCUCCUCAUACUAGCGAAGAAGAUUGUGAAUCAUAUUGUGCUGAAAAUUUGUAAUGACCUUUAUGACGAAGUGAUGCAAGAACAAUGAAUGCUUGAAAAACUCUUUUUAUUGUAAUAUUUGUGAUGUAAUAUAAUGCACACUAAUGUCUGCCUUUGUGAUGUGUAAAAUUCAAUUCUUAUGUGUUUUUUAGUCGAAGGCGAAAAACACAUUUCCUUCUUUUCACACGUUACAAAGGCGAUGCCCUUUCUCAUUGUGUUUGAUCAUUCGAAAUUGUCCGGACUUGUAAACGUCGCUUUUAGCGUAUAUACGUUUUUACUCUUUGUUCCCUUGGGAAUGACUUUGGAAUCCUUUAUACCUUUGCUUUGAUGCAUAAAAUCAUUUGAGUUCUACAUCCCCUUAGGAACGACUUCAGAGCACUUCCAUAUGACUCUGCAGGAACGACUUUGGAGCAUUUUCACUUUUACUAGGUGAUUUCACUUGAGCUCUACAUUCCCUUAGGAAUGACUUCGGAGCAUUUUUCACCUUUACUAGAUGAUUUCACUUGAGCUCUGCGUUCUCUUAGGAAUGACUUUAGAGCAUUUUCAGUUUUACUAGGUGAUUUCACUUGAGCUCUGUAAUACCUUAGGAAUGGCUUCGGAGCAUUUUCACCUUUACUAGGUGUUUUAACUUGAGCUCUGCAUUCCCUUAGGAACGACUUCGAAGCAUUUUUCUUUUCAUGCGAAGGUCUGUCGUAAUGCUAUUACCUUGUCGGGGAAAUGACCUAGGUCCCUAGGACCCGCCAGUCGGAGAGUGUGUUGAGGAAAGUAGCCCCUGAUCGCUGGGCCCGUUUGUCAGUUAGGAGAGGAAGAUACGUCGAUCCUGAAAGGACCCGCCUCCAGUCGAACCCCGCAACACCAAGUCUAGGGUCGGGCACGGCAAAACCUGACAAGGGAGGUCGGGCGUGUCGGAAGGGAACCACUCGAGUGGAUCCCGCGCCCGGUCGCAGACUGACUCGCCAUAAGUAGCCGACCACACUUAACCACGUCUAGAGCCGGGUCACAGCGCCGUGUUGGUCCACUUCUCACUCAUGACCUACGAGCACCUCGGGCCACAUAGCACUCAUCCCUACGAUACCGAAUGGACAACAGUGCAUUAAUGGCCAGCGCACCCCUCGGACUACGACACACGUAUGGCCUAUCGGACUAGGCUUGAGUACGCAGUCCUCUCGCAGGGCACUGUAGGACGGGAUCCGCCAAGCCCUUGGCUACAGAGGCUAGGGGUCAGCGUAGCCAUAAUGAUGACGCCCAGGAACAUCGCCACACCACGUCAUCCACCACGGUAAAUACAAGACAACAAGAUCGUCCCAAGCCCCACGAGUACGCGUGACUAGGGGUGGAAAUUUGGCUCGGGCUCGGUGAGGCUCGGCUCGACUGGAGCCGGCUCACGAGCCAAAACGAGCCCGAGCCUGGUUUUGCAGCUCACCAGAACUGCGAGCCGAGCCGAUCCGGCUCGGUCCAGCUCGCGAGCCGAGCUAACAACGUCAAGUAUACUAUUAUACCAUAUUAUUAUUAUUAUUAUUAUUAUUAUUAUUAUGUUUUGAAGUAUUUUAUUGAAUUUCUUGAACUUGAUACAUGAUACACUUAUAUUGUAGUCUAAAAAUAUAUUAUACAUAAUUUUUUAUCUUAUAUAUAAUAAAAAAAUAUAAUUUAUACUCUAAACGUGAUUUAGUGUGAUGCUCGUGAGCUGGCUUGAGCCGGCUCGCGAGCCGUUACCGAGCCAAGCCGAGCCUCUCGGUCAGGCUCCCAACAUGACCGAGCCGAGCUUGGCUCGGCUCGUAGCUGCACCGAGCCACGUCAAGCCGAGUCGAGCUUGGUUUUUCCCUUACCUUGCGACUCCUUCCCUGAAAAGCCAUCAUUGGUCGACCCUUCUCCCAGCCUAUAAAUGUGGGAGGCUAGCCUUAGGACAAGGGAGAAGAACGAGGAACAGAAGGACACAGAUCGAGAGGAGAGCACUUGGAGACAAUCGGACGCCUUCAGACGUAGACGAACCCACAAGGACGAACAAGAAGAGGAGCGCCGACGAGGACCAGGAGGCCAAAGUCCAGCCAAGCCAAGACUUAUCUAGGACUCCAUCUUGUAGCCUUUAAUCUCCACUUUCACCCCAAUAAGAGGUUUAAGAGGUCUGGGAGCCUCUCCUCCCUCUCUCGACUGCUUAUAACCCUACUACGAGUUUGAUCGUCAAUAGUGCUAGUAGCGCAAGCCAUCGAUGAAUGUAAGUAGGGACAUUCUGUCCGAACCAGUAUAAAUUUUUGCGCCCUCCGCGCACAACCUCCGGAGCCUGAAACACGUACAAUAAAUUGACUUGUCGGGGCGAGGUACGAAACACCAACAUAACUUGUUUAUUAUAUAAAUUUGGUUAAACUUUACAUGUUUUAACUAUUAAGAGUGUUUGGAAGCACCCAAUUUUCAAGAAUCCGGUUUAUGAAAACUGAGGUGUUUUUAAACAUACUAGUUUAUGUCUCAGUUUGUAGAAACUAGAUUUUUAGUUUCUUGAAAACCAAGAAGCUAGCCUCCACUAGCUAGCUAAAGCCGGUUUAUGAAAAGUGAGAUUGUUCUCAAUAUACUAGUUUUUGUCUUAGUUUAUAGAAACUAGAUUUUUAGUUUAUUAAAAACAAGAAGCUAGCCUCCACUCACUAAAGCGAGUAUAUGAAAACUGAAAUGGUUCUAAACACUAUUUAUUAGUUUUUUUUAUAAACCAGUUUCUAGAAACUGAAGAUAGAAAUUGGAUUCUUAAAACUAGGUUACUUACUUCUAAACAGCGCCUAAGAAAGUUACAAUAACUUUAAUUUGAGUUGGAGUGAGUAAUAAUCUGAUAAGAAUGGCAUCAUGAAUAGUGGUCGGACGUGACCGUGAUGACUGAUAACACUGAUGAAGUGCUCUGGGUUCCAGUUUUGGCGGCACUGUUCAUAGGUCCGGCCAUGUCACUCGCUCCUUCUCUCCCCCAGCUGCUCCACCGCUUUCACAAAACUAUUUGAUUUUGUCCCUAAUAGCUCUCACUCCAAACAGUUUAUAUCACCAGUCCUGGGGAAAAGAAAGCAAAGCAAAGCAAAAGCGAGAGAGAAACAAAAUAGAAAGCGAAGAGACGACGACCAUGUUCCCGUCGCCAGGGAGGGCGGUGAUGGCGCUGGGCCACGGUGGCCAGCACAUGACCGCGUCGUCCACCGCCGGCGGCAUGGCGGCAUCCUCGUCGUCCACCCCCACCAUAACGUUCGCGUUCCAGCAGCCGUCCCCUCCCCCUCCUCCGACGGCGACGAGCUCCCUCGCCCUCGCCCACCCCCACCACCAUGGCGUGCUAGGUUACGGCUCCGCCUGCCUUCUCCUGGACCACCACCACCCAACCACCGCCACCUCCUCGGCCUCUCCCUCGCACGCGGCUCCGUCCAGCGUCGUCCCGGCCCCCACCCUCCACCACCACUUCCAUGGCCAUGCAGCAGGAGCGCCGCACGUUUCCCUUUCCCCUCCCACGAGGGCGUCGCCUCCUCCUCAUCAUCCAUGGUAAGCUGCUCUCGCUCGCUCAUGUCCCUCUCUCUCCCUCCCCCCUUCAAGAAAGCUAGUUUCUCGUACAUACACGUGUAGCGUGCGUGACCGUGACCGUGAUCCUAUCCUCCGUGUCAAUUAGGUCGACGGCGGCGGCCUGCGAAGAAGAGCCGGAGCCGCAUCACGAUCAUCGCCAACAAGCAGGCCAAGGCGGCAGACCGCCGAGGGGGAAGGGAGCGGCGGUGAGCGAGGGGUCGGCGGCGGCGCUGGGAGUGGGCGCCGUGCGGAUGAAGAAAGCGGGCGGCGGAGGAGGAGGCAAGGCGCGGCGGAAGGUGCGCGAGCCGCGGUUCUGCUUCAAGACGAUGAGCGACGUCGACGUGCUCGACGACGGCUACAAGUGGCGCAAGUACGGCCAGAAGGUCGUCAAGAACACGCAGCACCCAAGGUACUCGCUCGCUCGCAUCACCAUACGCGUGCGUCUGCAUGCUGGGCCGUGCACGGACGUCGAGUAUUACGCACUUGCUAGCUAGCUAGAGCCUAGAUUCAUGGGCUAGCUCAUGGCCGCAGUCCAGCACAUCACUACACAUUUGCUCGGUUAACUCCCGAGUCCCGAUCACGUGCGAUCCAUGCCAUGGCUUACCAACGAUUAUAUAUAACUGCACUGCAAUUUAGUUUCAAAUCUGUCGAGCAUGCUUUGCUUCCAUGAGAUCACCCUCAUCAAUUCCUUUGCAAAGUCAUCGAUUUAAGAUUUUUGCGGGUGCUUUUGCAUUUGUGAGUCGUGUGCGUGGGUUUCAAGAUCAAAACGUACUCAAACUUAUAUGCCGUCCGAUCCCGUUCUAGAUAUAUGUUUUUAUAGUAUGAAUUCAAUUAGUUCGCAUUGAUUUGCAUGUUAAUUCGGUUUUAUGUACAUGUUUCGAUCUGAUGAACUGAAGCUUUCUUAAUGUAGGCAAAAAUUAAUAUUACUGGAUUUAGUAUUCAAAUUCAUUGACAAUAUAUGUAUGAGCACCACAAAAAAUCUCAAAUAUAAAACAGGUAGUGUGGAAGAGAAAUUCCGUGCACUAGCUACUUGCUGUGUUAGAUUGAAGUUACCUUAAGAUAGAACCAACUAAAUACACACAUUAAAAUAUAAUCUAUAUCCACCCUUUCCUUUUGUUUUGGAUGGACUGGGUUGCUAGUGUUAAUAACUCAAAUGUGAAUAAUACUUUAAUUAUUGUGUUUUUUCUGCUGAAGGGCACAUGUAGCAAUGCAAAACACCAUAUACCUCCUUUAUGUCUUUUUGACUUUGAUAAAAAAAAUUAUCUUCUUGCCUUCUCCAAUUAAUAAGCAUAGAUUCAAACAAUGAAUUUACAGUUUAUUUAGAAGGAUGGUGUGCCAAAACUUUUACGGGCAGAUGAUACUAUGCCCUUUUUGUAGGGCUCUUUCAAAGGCUCCUCAAACAGCUCUUCCAAAAAAUCAACAAAAAGAGGGCUCCUUUGCUAGCUUCUCCGUAAAAAUAGAAAGGAACCAUUCUUAGAAACCGAGCAAGUUGGGGAGCCUUAAAAAAGGCUUCUCUUGCUCUCUCUCGUCUCCCCAUUUUUCGUAAAAAUAGAAGGAGUUGUGUUUCCAACUAAAUAGGUUGCUUCUCCAUAGACUCUUUCUUAAAAAAUAAGGAGGGAGAUGUUUUUUAAGAGAAGCUAGAGCUAGAGCUGGAGAGACGUUGAUGCGAGAACCCUACAAAAGAGCGUCUAAAUAUUAUCAUUCACAAAUAUAUCUUUAACAUCACUAAGAAAAUGGUUUGUUUAUCUUGUGCACUAGCCACUAGAGGCUAGCAAACACUCAGAAAUAUAUUUUGCCUCGCGCCAAAGGUAGAAUUUCACACACACGCGCGAAGCAUCCAUUUUGCAUGUGCAACUGAAGCUAGUCGAACUAUACUUCGAUCAUAUGCAACAAAACAUGUACUGUGCAUGUCAAAAUAUAUGUCUUUUAUCCUAAUUAAAGAACAAUAUUAUUUAAAACAAAUAGUGUAUCCUUAUUAUUUAUCAUGAUAGUUAUACAUGCUGUCAGUUAUUUAAGUAGUCAUUUCGAUCUAUGGACAGAAAUUGUGACCCAAAUUGUGGUUGAACCAUGCAUGUUAUAUUUUAAACCACUGCACGAUAUCUUUAUGCAGCAAGGGAAUUAGAAGGAUCGUGAACUUAUUUUGCUGCAAAAACCACCAGAUUCCUGUAUUUAUUUUGUGUGGUUAUUCGCAGUAAUUUUAUUCUAUCAAUAUAUUUGGAUGGUAUUGUUUGUUGUGAAGUAGUGUUAGUAUGUGAUUUUGUAUACAUUAGCAAUUUAGUGUUGGCUGAUUACCUGUUGUCAGUGACACCUUUUCACUAAAAACGACAUUAUCACUAUUUACAUGUUUUUCCUACAUUAAUUAAGAACCGGUCGAAUGUUAACAUGCAAAAUAUGUGUCCGGAUGGCAUUAUUAUUUACUCCCUAUCCCAAAUUAAAAUAUGUUUCAGAUAAUUAAUGGAUUCAUACAAUAUUUAAAUUAUGUGGUUUAUAUAUAUGUAUCUAGAUCUAUCAUCAUCUAUUUAAAUAUAGACAUAAAAAUCAAGAGCUGAAACAAAUACUAUUUUGGGAUGAAAGUAGUAAUCUAGUGCUAGUUAGUAACCAAUCAUGGCAUAUAUUUGUUUUCUAACUAUAUAUUGUUGCUUCAAUCUACUUAUCGUAUUGCCAUAUAUAUGCUUCGGAUUACCUGGUGUAAUUUCUUAGAAUAAUGCAAUCCAAGGUUGUACUCUCUCUCUGUGUUCUUUUUUAUUUGUCGUCGUUUAGUUAAAAAAUAAAUUAGGAGACGACAAAUAUUCGAGAACGGAGUUGUACCUUAUAAAGAGAGAGAAAGAAGAAAAAAAAAAGGCAAAAAUGAAUAUCCACAGAAACCUCACUUUGCAAAUAGUUCGAUGCACUUGUGCAAGAAGCAAACGAGGGAGCAUUUUCGCAAGCCUUUUCCACACUGCCACAGUGGCUUUUUCCUAAAGUGCUAGUCAUUGGAUCUGAAAAGGAAAAAAAAAGUGCCCGCAAAGCUGGUCCUAAGAUGCACAACUUUGUCGUGUGUCUGGUCCCCUUGCCGCCAAUGCCCUAAUAUCUGGUUAAAUAAAUACAGUCUCCCCCUAAUUAACUCCAUGUAGUUCGCUCAUUAAGGAUAAGAUGUUUUUUUGCUCAGCGAGUAUAGGAAAGUAACCAUCUGUCCCUAUAGGUAAGCUAGAAUAUCGCUUAGUACCUUUUAUAUGACAAUUUUGCAUCUAGUGACACGUGUAAAUACGAUUUUUUUGUGCCAUCUGAUACCUAAUUUGAGGAAUCUAAAUAGCAUAUGGGGGAGUGUAUUGUAGAGAAUGACGUGCAUCUCCUAACAAGCAAGCAAGCGUAGCACUGCUAGUAGUAGGUUGGAUACUCAUUGCAUUGCACCAUCUAACCCACUAACAUUGUCCACUCGCGCGUCCAUGCCUGCUUGCGCUAGCUACACCAUGUAGGCAACAGCGACUGCAAGUAUCGAUCGGAAUUAUUACAUUUUGUUGAGAGUGCAGCAGUUAAAAAAUAAAAAUUAUUUAGAUGAGUUUUUGUUUAUGGGGACUAAUUUUUAGUCCCUCUAUUUUAUUCUUUUGUAAUCACUAAAUUUGCUAAAUACGAAAACUAAAAUAUAGUUCUGGUUUCCCUAUUUAUCAAUUUAGAAAUAAAAACGAAAUAAAAUAGAGGAACUAAAAAUUGCUCCCUACAAACCAAACAUCCCUUGUAUUAUAGGGCCUGUUUGAUUCGCUGUCUAACUUGUCAUACUUUGCUUAACUUUUCUGUCUAAGGUUAGUUCUUCAAUUUAAACGACUAACUUUAAACAAAAUGUGGCACAUUUAACCGUGAACCAAACAUGCCCUUACUCUUCUGAAAACAACUCACUUUUGCCGGUAUCUUAGGAGCAGUAGGCACGUAGUUGUAGUCACACGUACGCAAUUAGUAGGAAGUUUAGUCACGAGAAGAGUAGCAGAGAUGACAUGACAAUAUACGUGACAUGAUCUAUAUCAUCUCCGUGAGCUGAUCCAAAUGAUGAAGCCACCACACGUACCCAGCUAGAUAAGCGUGUAUGUGUAUGUGUGCGUGUGAAUCAGAUCGAUCUCUGAGCGUGCGUGGCCAUCAUGGCGGGCGAUGCCGAGCAUUGACCCACCCACACAGACACUCGCUAUAUAGCUGCGGGCACAGCAGACAUGAGCCCCAGCAUCCAGUUCAAUCUGAUUAGCCAUCUGCAAUGAUGCCGCUAAGAAAUAUAACCCAACCCCCCUCCCCUCCUCCCCCUGCCUACCUCUGGUGUCUGAAUCACACAUGCACCAUUCCCAUGUCUGAUCCCUCUUUUUCCAAUCAGUUGGCAAAUCUCGGCAAUCAUCCAUCUUUUCCUCUCUCUUUUUUAUUAUUAUCUAUGCCAUACUUACCCAAUGAGCAAAGCAAACUAAUCAAAAAAAGAGCAUACAUAAAUAUAAAAAAAUUGGAUUACUAUUGUUAAGCACUAUAUAACCUAGCUAUAGUUUUUUUUGAAAUUAAAUUUAAACAAAAAAAAAUUGCCAUCUUUGAAGUUUGAUGAAGUGCCGGCCAGCCCUUGCUGCCCCUUGGUAGGAGAGAAUCUUUACUGUUUGGUAAAGCAGGGCGAGAUGAUGAUGAAAAAGGCGGUGGGUUUUAGCUUUGCAAAUUGGGCCCAAGUUUUUUUUUGUUUUGUUCCUGUAAUUAUUACCGCAUCUUUAUCAAUCUACUACCAUGGCCCCCCUUAGGCCGGGUGAAAUGAUGCUAGUAGUACCUGGGUAGCUAGCGCGGAAUAUUAUUAUUACUCUCGGUAUCUCUCUACAUAUUUUUUCCCUCCUUCAUGUGUCAGGGCCAUGAUUGAGAUUUCCAAUCGUCGCUGUACUUUUAACAGCCGGCUAAAAUAGCCGUAGUAAGUAGGAGUACUGCGUACCCGGGUUCAAUUCGUCCUGAAAUAAUUGACGUUAUAGAAUUUGUUUUUAUUAUACAAUUCAAAUUCUAUUCUAAAAUACGUACCAUUCUCACCUUUCCAUGCGUAUACCUUUCUAUUCUUUUCAUUAGUUUUUUUUUGCCAAUAUAUAUCUUCACCUCUACUUUUAUUUCUCUCUGUGUCUUUUUUCAUAUUUUAUGUGCACCAUGUAUUUUUCGCUUCUUCUAAAUACUCCGAUCCAAACUAAAUCUAAAAAGCCAACUAUUUUAUGCAGCCAGUAAUAUAGAGUUGGAUUCGUGUUGAUUAAAAUACUUCAACUUUGAUCAAAUUUCUAAUAAAUAGUGUAUAAGCAUUUACGUCUCCAAUUAAAUUUAUUAUAAAAAUAUAUAUUAUAAUAAUAUUUAUUUUGUAUCAUGAAUAUUAAUUAUUUUUAAUAUAAUUUUAGUUAAAAUUCAAAGGGUUUAACUUAUGGAAAAAAUAAAUUUUAUUUUCUUUUGUGGCUGGAGGAAGUACUAUAUUGACCACUAUUUUUUUUCUCGGAGAGCUAUAUAUCAUUAUAUUUAAGAAGAAAAAAGAAAGUUGGGUCGUAGCCCUUACAAAUCAUGACACUGAUGUUUAAAUCCCCUCAAAACAGGAAACAACCCUUGAGCUGCCUUAGAAAAAAAAAACAGAAAUUUAGCCGUGAGGAAUAUUAGCUGCUAGAAAAAUAAUCCCCUUAGCCCCUGCCAUGUCCCACAACCUUGGCUAUUCUACAACCUGCUGUAGAACAACAUCAAUACUCGGAUUGCCACCCUCGAAGACACACUGAUUACGGUGCUUCCAUAAGGUCCAAGCACCAAACAAAGCAAGGGAGUUAAUCGCCGUCUUCAUUUGUCCAGUUGCCAUUUCACUUAUUGUUCUCCACCAGUCCAGGAAAACUAGUAUUUUCUGGUUGAGGGGACAGUAGAGUAUGUAGUCCAAAUUGUCUCAACAAAAGGAACUAGCAUUUCCUUGAGAAAACACAAGAUAGACCAGUAGAUAGUCUAUUGUUUCAUUUUCUUGUUCACAAUCCAAUCUUCUUUUUGCAAGACGGUCAGCUGUCCAACUCCUUUAUACAACGAUAAUCAUAUACGUCGUGCUAGCUAGUAGAGUGCAAAUUAAAAUAGAGAGCAGUACACGACGCUACUUAAACUAGCUAGUUGUAGAGCUGCAGUGAACAAACUAUGAACACGAGCAGUCUACAGUCUAGUCUACUGUCGUUAUGCCGUGUCCUCGCAUGCAUGAGAAUCCAAGUGUGUGUGUGUAUGUGUGCAGCAAAGUUAGCAGUGCCCAAAAGCAAUCCUUUCACUCUUUCAACCAUGCAUAUGGUUAGCUAGGUUGGGUCAAUUAGAUAGAGUAGCUAUACUGUGGUACUGCCUUCAUUUUUAUUUAUUUGACGUCACUUUGUACUAACCGGCGCAAUAUAAAAAUAAACGGAGGAAGUACAUGCUUAGUUUUAGGAUUGAUUUUUAAUUACUAAUAACGUCGUCACAUACAGCUGACAACAAAGCUACAUGUAUCUGAAGAUUUCUCGAUCGGAUAUCGAAAAUCAUGGUGUGAUGGUAAAGAGAUAAAACUGACCUGGGCUCAAGUCUGUUCUGCUGGCUAGCAGCUACUAGCACCACAUACAUUUUCCGUUUGAUUUAAGCCCACCUAGCGCUAGCUUGGUUCGUCUCAAGUCUUCUCAGCUGUACCUCUAGCACAGGAGCCGGAGAAGUCCCCCAAGAAAGCUAGCCAGCUCUGCACUGCACUCUCCUUCUCUUUCUAAGUUCAUUUUGGGGACCCCCGCAUGAUAUGAUGUGCUCGCUGCAUUGCAUGCAGGAGCUACUACCGGUGCACGCAGGACAACUGCCGGGUGAAGAAGCGGGUGGAGCGGCUCGCCGAGGACCCCCGCAUGGUCAUCACCACCUACGAGGGCCGCCACGUCCACUCCCCGUCCCGCGACGAAGACGACGACGCCGCGCGCGCCAACGCCGAGAUGAGCUUCAUCUGGUAGCCUGCAGAUCCGGCUCCGACGACCGGCGGCCAUCUCUAUUCUCUCAGUGCAUACAACGUCGGCCGCCUCCGGUCUAAGUUUCGCCAGCAGCCGCCGCCACCACCAGCAGCAGCAGCUGAAUAUCCUGAAUUUAGCUAUUAUAUCCAUCCAUGCAUCGAAGAACUCUCAUCGAUCGUGUGUGCAUGUGGCAUGUCUAGGCAUUAUGUUAUUGCUAUGUCAAUCGAUCUUUAUAUAUAUACGCGAAUGAUGUCCGUCGCUGCAGGUACGUAGGGUGUGAACUGCAUGGUCCUCCUAGCUACUGUCGACCUGUCGUAGUUAAUUAGCUAAUAAUAUAGUAGUGCAUCCAGGUUAUGGACUAAAUAAUACUUAUAUACAUAGCAGCUACCUGAAACGUGUUCUAGAAUUACCAAUGUUUAUUGCACUUCUUUCCUUUGCUACUUUAAAUUUAUAAGGUUGAUAAGUUUGUUGGUGAUAUAUAUGAUGCUGCUUGGUUGUUCUUCUACAUUUUUACUAUAGUUAGCUUAAGACCAACUCACUCUCCGUAAAAUGCAUCCUUCUUUCCACGGCCACAGUGCUUCCUUCCAACAGUUAUGCACAUCCCUCUCCGUAUGAAGCGACCUCUGAAUGUGCGCCACCAGAAGGAGCUCAAGCCCACAGCCGCCGCCGGAGAUCGCCGUCGAGUCAUGGCCUUCAUGCUCGCCACUGGAAACGAGCCGAGCUCGGCUUGGUGCGGCUCGGUGCCUUAACGAGCUCGACUCGGCUCGGCUCGUUUAUUCCACGAGCUGGCGAAAGAGGCUCGGCUCGCGAGCCAUAUUUUGGUACUUUUCGUUGCAUUUUUUGGUGAAUUAACAUUAUAUAAAUUUGAAAUAUAGAAUCAUCAUUCUACAUUAUAUAAAUUUGUAAUAUAUUCAUCAUCAAAGACUAAAAAAUGAGCUAUUAUCCAUAAAAUCAUCUAAUAUUCAUUAUUAUUCCAUAAAUUGACCAUUUUUGCAAGGCUCGCGAGCCGGCUCCUCGAACCUCGCAGGUAGAUGCUCCUCGAACCUGAGCCGCCAGAAUCAAAGGCUCCAUGUACACGCCCAUUUUAUUCCCCGGUUGUCCGGGAAUUAUCAACGACACGGAUAUAUUUUGCCUUUGAUAAAAAAAUUAGAAUGUUUGGAGAAAGUUGUGAGACAUUAUGUGUAGAAACCUAAGAGAACUACACAUGAAAUCAUAGAGUUUCAAUGUGUAUCUCAUAGGUUUGUACACAUAGUGCGUCACAGCUUUCUCGAAAUUUUUUCAAAUUUUUAUCACAGCCUCUACAUAUGAUAUCAUGACACGUGGACAUGUUUCAUGAUUUUCUGACUUUGUUUGUGUUUUAUACAAAUUUUAAACACCUGGAUGGCAAGUUCACGGCCAUGUUGAGUGAGCAUGGUGCUCGAAGUUUUCGGUCCACUCCUGAAAUCGGUCGUAACUUGUGCUAAGUAGCAUGGAUAUCAUUUUUGCAUGCACGGUUUUCCAAAAAUCGAGUGACCUGCAGUUCAAAUCUGAAUUUUCCGAAGAAAUUCAAAUAAAUGAACUAAAUCUAUUAGCUAUUGAAAAUACUGUUAUAAUUGUCCCAAAAUGGUACAUGUAGGUCUACAUAGUGUAGGAACAUACCAUAAAAAGUUUGGUAAACAAAAUAAAAAAUAAAAAUAUGCUUUGCCGAGUGUCCACAGAAGACACUCGGUAAAGACCCUCUUUGCCGAGUGCCGGCUUUCGGCCCUCGGUAAAGACUGACGGCCGUCAGCUGUAGACUGCCGCUAACGUCCCUUUGUCGAGAGUCAUCUUUGCCGAGUGUUUGCCGCUCGGCAAAGCAUUCUUUGCCGAGUGCUUCGCUAUGCCGAGUGUCCUGCACUCGGUAAACAAGCUCUUUACCGAGCGCAGAACUUUGCCGAGUGCCCGAUAAAAAGAACUCGGCAAAGACUUCGGCACUCAGCAAAGGCCCGAAUUCCGGUAGUGUUUCAUGCUUGCCACCGGCAACGCAUGCAGCUACUCACCAUUUACAAAACAUGUAAUAAAUUUGAUUCGAAAAUGAUGAGUAGGGCAAUUGUGGUGAUUGGGGAGUUGUUCCUAUAAUUUUUUAAAAAAUAUUUUGUUGUUUUUUGGUUUUUUGUGAUUCUUAAAUUGUCGAGCGCUUUUAUUUAUCGAGUGUUUUUCGACACUCGGCAAAGUCUUUGCCGAGUGUCGAAAAAAGUAUACGACAAAAAUCCUUUGUCGAUAAAAUAUUUGUCAAAUGUAACACUUGGCAAAAAGCUUUUGUCCGGUAGUGAUGGUGCACAUGAACUAACAAGGUUCACAAAAAAAUCUGAAAAAAUCAUAUAUAUUCUUUUCAUCCUACUCCUAUUAUAUAAUAUUUUAAGUUCAAAUUCGUCAUAUUUUAGCUGUAACAAAAAAAUAAGAUUUUAGCCAAUUUUAUAAUUUAAACUUGUUAGGAAUUUUAUCUUUUUAUUACAAAUAGAGUAUAAUGAAUUUGAAAUUGAAAUUUGUAUAUAAUAAGAGUAAGAUGGAAUGAAUAUGUAUGAUUUUUUAGAUUUUUUUAAAACUUUGUUAGUUCAUGUGCAAUGUAUAUGCUCCCAUAUAAUAAUGUGAAUGAACUCAUAAUGCCAGGAUAACUACUACACGAAGGACGAUUUGUACCGGUCGAGAAUUGGCUACAAUACCACUACACGACCAGUGCCUAGUGUUGGGUUGGGUCGACUCGUGCCUCCCUGUUUGACGUGCCGAGUCAGAGUUUUUUUUGGGUUGGGUCGGAUUUUUUUGGCUUUGGGUCUGGUUUUUUCGGGUUUGGUCAGGUUUUGGGUCAAAAAUCACGGCACAUAACCGGUCCGUGAAUUAUUACAUAACAGGUCAAAAAUUAUGGCACGGACUCGCCCGUUACAUUGGUCGGAUCGGGUUGGUCGGGUCGGGUGCCUCAUGAUCAGGUCUAGAACGAGUACUAACGUGUCGAGGGUCAUUUUACUAUAUAUCUCUCUCUCUAUCUAUCUAUCUAUAUAUAGCUCUGAGCUUUCGAUGUUGACCGGCCUUGAUCGGUCAACAAACCAGGUCAAACCUCCCCGUGGGCUCCAGCCAACCUCCGAGUCUAACACUCAAUCCCCCUCGUAGAACGCACGCGCAUAAUUUGUGCUUCUGUUUUUUUUGCAAAAACAGCAUAAACAGUUUUAUAAAUAACGUAAAUAGUUUAUAGAGAUAGCAUAAAACAACGGCUAGACAUUGGACCACGUUCCACGGACAGGCGCAUGCAUACAUAUCAUAUUUUAUAGUAGAUUCAAUAACUAUGGCAGAUCAUGUGAGUUUCCAUUGCAUGUGCGGUAAUUUUGGGUGGCAUUUUAGUUUCCAUUGUAUGCGGCUGAUUUAAUUUAAAUGCUUUAUUUCCUCCAUAAAUAUAGAAUCUCUCCAACAUCCAUGAGGCUAACAUCGUUAGAACCAAUUUAUGAUAUAUACUGAUACUAAUUAUGCUAAGGUGUGUAGGUAUUUAUACAAUGUGUUACGCUGCGUAAAAACUGUUUCUUGCUGCAUGUGCACAAAUUUAGGAUGACAAGAAAGUGCGUUGAAAGAAAUGGAUUGGCAUGCAUGGAAACAAAAAAACUGAUUUAAAUGUCUAUUUCCUCCAAAAAAUAUAGGAUCUUUACAGCAGCCAAACAACUAGGCUCGUUAGAAUCAAUUUAUGGUAUAUACUGAUAUUAAUUAUGUUACACAGUGAAGGUAUUUAUAUACUGUGGUAUCUUGAGCAAAAAAUCUAGCAUGCGGUUCGAAUCAAUAGCCCCCAAGUCCAUGUGUCCACCAUAAAUAAAGCAAUUUGAUUAGAGUAGUUGAUUAAGAGAUUUAAUGAGGUGGUUGAUUAGGGAAUAUAAUUUUUUAUGGCUGUAGUGGACACCAUAAAUCAAGUGAAUGUACGUGCCAGAUUUUAUGAAAUCGUGGCAAAUGAUCUUAUUUCUGUGAGUGGUUACCUUUUUGUGAAUUUUUGUUUUGUUGUAUAAUCAUGUGUCGUAAAUAUCUCAUACAUAUGGCGUAAAUGGUAGGAACCCAAUAUACACACUGGGUUAUGUAAUAAGAUAAUGCAUAAAAAUAAUAAACAUUUGCGUAAAAUGUGAAUAGAAAUAUCAUAAAUAGACAGUAUAUGGAAGGGGAGCCUUGAACUGAAAUAUAUAUCGUAAAUUACGUUUGCAUAAAAUAUGUAUACUAAGUAGCAUAAAAACAGGGAUGCCACUCGCACAGUCGUCACCUCGCCUCUGGGAUCCGCCACCACUCAUCGGAGGAUGCCCGAAGCGCGUCGGAUCGGAUGAUGUCGGGGCCCGCGGUGCAGAUGGCGAACCCCACGCGCGCCUCUAGGGAGCCGCCGCCGCCGGUGAGAGCACCUAGAGGGGGGGUGAAUAGGUGAUCCUGUAAACUUCAAAACUUAAGCCACAAAACUUUGAUUAAGUGUUAGCACAGUUAAUGCCAAGUGGCUAGAGAGAAGAUCUUGCACAAUAGGAUAAUCACACGGAGUUCAACACAGAGAAGACACAGUGAUUUAUCUCGUGGUUCGGCCAAGUACAAAACUUGCCUACUCCACGUUGUGGCGUCCCAACGGACGAGAGUUGCACUCAACUCCUCUCAAGUGAUCCAAUGAUCAACUUGAAUACCACAGUGUUAUGCUUUUCCUUUCAAUUUCCCGUUUGCGAGGAAUCUCCACAACUUGGAGUCUCUCGCCCUUACACUUGAGAUUCAACAAGAAAUACGGAGUAAGGGAGGGAAGCAACACACACAAAUCCACAGCAAAAUGCGCACACACACGGCCAAGAAUCGAGCUCAAAAAGACUAUCUCAAAGUUCUCACUAGAACGGAGCUCGAAUCACUUAGAAUGACAAACGAAUGCGCAAAGACUGAGUGUGGAUGAUCAAGAAUGCUCUAAGGUUGCUUAGUUUCCUCCUCCAUGCGCAUAGGGGUCCCUUUUAUAGCCCCAAGGCAGCUAGGAGCCGUUGAGAGCAAAUCUGGAAGUCUGAUCUUGCCUUCUGUCGUCGGGCGCACCGGACAGUCCGGUGCACACCGGACACUGUCCGGUGCCCGAUUUCCUUCCUUAAACAGCGCAGUCGACCGUUACUGAUCUGGGAGCCGUUGGCGCACCGGACAUGUCCGGUGCACACCGGACAGUCCGGUGCCCCCUUCCGACCGUUGGCUUGGCCACGUGUCGCGCGCAGAAUCCGCGGCCGACCGUUGGCCCUAGCCGACCGUUGGCUCACCGGACAGUCCGGUGCACACCGGACAGUCCGGUGAAUUUUAGCCGUACGCCGUCGGCGAAUUCCCGAGAGCGGCCUGUUCGACCGAGGCAGCCUGGCGCACCGGACACUGUCCGGUGCACCACCGGACAGUCCGGUGCCCCAGACCGAAACAGCCCCUUGGCUGUACACAGCCACCUUUUUCCUUUUCUUUUUCUUCCUGUUUCCAAUACUUAGACAAGUAUAUUAGUACACAAAACCAAUGUACUAAGACUUAGAAACAUACCUUUGCUCUUGAUUUGCACUUUGUUCAUCCAUUGCAUAAAUUCACAUUUUAAGCACUUGAGUUGGCACUCAAUCACCAAAAUACUUAGAAAUGGCCCAAGGGCACAUUUCCCUUUCAAUCUCCCCCUUUUUGGUGAUUUAUGCCAACACAACAUAAAGCAACUAGAACAAGUGCAAAACCACUUCAAAUAACACUUAAAUUUAUUUUGAUUCAUGUUUGGCAUAUAUGGAUCAUCCUUUGCCACCACUUGGUUUGUUUUUGAAAUCAAACUCAAAUCUCUAUCUCUAAGUCAAACACACAUGUUAAAGCAUAUAGAGAGUUAUUCCAAAAGAGAUUGAUCAAAGAUUUCAAAAACUCCCCCUAUUUCCCAUAAUCACCACUUCUCCCCACAAGAAGCCAACUUUUGACAAGAGACACAAUAAAAGAAUUUUGCUAAAACAAAAGCUCUAUUCUACUAUUUUCAAAAUCUCUCAAGUGGCAGCAAAAAGCUCUAUUCUACUAUUUUCAAAAUCUCUCAAGUGGCAGCUGAUCCAUUUAUUUCUUUGGCCUUUAUUUUCUCCCCCUUUGGCAUCAAGCACCAAAACGGGAUCGAUCUUGGCCCUUUAACCCCAUUGCCUCACCAAAAUCUUCAAUUAAGAGUACAAAGGCAAUAAGAUCAUAGAGAUGAACUUGGAAUAAGUUACCCUCUCAUCGGAGUGCAGUGGAAGUCUUGCAUGAUCCAAGUUCACCUUUCCCUUUCAAUUCACCUUCGAGACUAAAUCAAGCAAACUCAAGCAAAUGGUUAGUCUCAAAGGGUCAAGUUGUAACACAUCUCCCCCUAAACAUGUGCAUCACUUUGCAACGGACUUGUGAGGUCCAGGGAGUGUUUGUACAACUUGAGCACCACAAUAAGCAACAAAAUGCAGAAUGAACCUGAUUAAAGGCAUAAACACAUGUAUGCUAUAAUUCAAUCCAAGUUCCGCGAAUCUAAGACAUUUAGCUCACUACGCAGCCUGCAAAAGGUCUUCUCAUCUAGAGGCUUGGUAAAGAUAUCGGCUAGCUGGUUCUCGGUGCUAACAUGAAACACUUCGAUAUCUCCCUUUUGCUGGUGGUCUCUCAAAAAGUGAUGCCGGAUGUCUAUGUGCUUUGUGCGGCUGUGCUCAACAGGAUUCUCCGCCAUGCGGAUAGCACUCUCAUUGUCACAUAGGAGUGGGACUUUGCUCAGAUUGUAGCCAAAGUCCCGGAGGGUUUGCCUCAUCCAAAGUAGUUGCGCGCAACACUGACCUGCGGCAACGUACUCGGCCUCAGCGGUGGAUAGGGCAACGGAGGUUUGUUUCUUAGAGUUCCAUGACACCAGGGACCUUCCUAAGAAUUGGCACGUCCCCGAUGUACUCUUCCUAUCGACCUUACAUCCAGCAUAGUCGGAGUCUGAGUAUCCAACUAAGUCAAAGGUAGACCCCUUUGGAUACCAGAGCCCGAAGCAAGGCGUAGCAACCAAAUAUCUAAGAAUUCGCUUUACCGCCACUAAGUGACACUCCUUAGGAUCGGAUUGAAAUCUAGCACACAUGCAUACGCUAAGCAUAAUAUCCGGUCUACUAGCACAUAAGUAAAGCAAAGAACCUAUCAUUGACCGGUAUGCUUUUUGAUCAACGGACUUACCUCCUUUGUUGAGGUCGGUGUGUCCGUCGGUCCCCAUCGGAGUCUUUGCGGGCUUGGCGUCCUUCAUCCCAAACCGCUUUAGCAGAUCUUGCGUGUACUUCGUUUGGGAGAUGAAGGUGCCGUCCUUGAGUUGCUUCACUUGGAACCCAAGGAAGUAGUUCAACUCGCCCAUCAUCGACAUCUCGAAUUUCUGCGUCAUCACCCUGCUAAACUCUUCACAAGACUUUUGGUUAGUAGAACCAAAUAUUAUGUCAUCGACAUAAAUUUGGCACACAAACAAAUCACCAUCACAAGUCUUUGUAAAAAGAGUUGGAUCGGCUUUCCCAACCUUGAAAGCAUUAGCAAUUAAAAAGUCUCUAAGGCAUUCAUACCAUGCUCUUGGGGCUUGCUUAAGUCCAUAGAGCGCCUUAGAGAGCUUACACACAUAGUCGGGGUACCGUUCAUCCUCGAAGCCAGGGGUUGCUCCACGUACACCUCCUCCUUGAUUGGCCCGUUGAGGAAAGCACUCUUCACAUCCAUUUGGUACAACCUGAAAGAAUGGUGAGCGGCAUAUGCUAGCAAAAUACGAAUUGAUUCUAGCCUAGCCACAGGAGCAAACGUCUCCUCAAAGUCCAAACCUGCGACUUGGGCAUAACCUUUUGCCACAAGUCGAGCCUUGUUCCUCGUCACCACCCCAUGCUCGUCCUGUUUGUUGCGGAAUACCCACUUGAUUCCCACAACAUUUUGCUUCGGACGAGGCACCCACUACAAGAAAAAAGACUAGUAGCGACAUUUUAGUAGAGGCAUUUUUAAAAGUGCCUCUUAGGGCCUGUUUGGCAUGGCUCUAGAGCAAAACUCCAAGGGGGAGCUGGCCAGAGCAUGCCAAACACCCUAACUCCAGAGUUGUAAACUCUAUGGAGUUUUUGGAGCUGCAGUACAAUUUUUUGGAGUACCUCUUUUGCUGCUCUGAAAACUCCAAAAAAGCAACCUAGUCAUGGAGUUUUGAGUUAUUUACUCGCGAUUGCCACUGGUUAUGAGAAACAAUCUAAACUCUGGAGCAGAGCUGCUCCACCCAGAGUUUUAGAGUAGAGCUGCUCUGGGGUGGAGCAGAGCCAUGCCAAACACACCCUAAGUCUAGUAUGCCAACGGUAUAGCCACAUUUCUUUGAGGCAUUUUCGAAAAUGCCACAAAUAUGUGAAAUGUACAUUUGUAAAUGUGUGAUGGUCUUUACUCUUGAGACAUUGCUAAAGGCACUUUGAAAAAUGCCUCUAAUUUAUGUCCAAUUAUUAAUUUUUUAAUCAGCUUGCACCAAAUUGAUGUGAUAUUUUAGAAAAAUAUUUACAUUUUGGAAUAGGUGAGCAGUGUAGUGGCAUUUUUAGAGACAUUUUUGAAGAUGUAACAAAUAUGUGAAAUAUACAGUUUUUUUAGUGUCAUGGACUUUAGUCCUGAUAUUAUUGCUAAAGACAUUUUGAAAAACGCCGAUUAUUUAUGUCUAAUUUAUUAUUGUUGUUUAUUAAUCAACCUGCAGCAACUAAUUGAUGUGAUAAUUCAAAAAAAUAAAAUGGUUAUAUAACACACAGACAAAGUCUCGAACUCGUGACCUGUAGUAAGUCCCAAGCAACUGUAGACCACCAUGGCACAUGCACGUUUUGUUAGUAGUGGGAUCAAAAUACAUAUAUGUACUGAACAAUCGCGAACACAUCAAAACACCUCUUCAUCUUCUUUCUGCAGAUGCGCGGUCUUCUUUCCCCUUUCUCCGGAGCCGCUCGCCACGUUGUCAACUCUGAUGGCUCUGUGGAUAAAGGCGGAGUUCGCCCACUUCUUCCCCGUGCUCCCAACGCUGAAUCCGCCGCCGUCCCUAAACCCUCAACCGUGCGCCGCCGUGCCUUCGUAGAUCGCCGCCGCGGGCAAGCCUGUGUGCCACCGCCAUUGCCGCCGCUUGGACGUCAACCCUCACCGGUGGGUGGCGGCGUUACUUCGUCGUUCUCCUUAUCGCGGAUUUCUCGGGAGAACACCACCGCGGGACCCGACCAGGAGCGCCGUCGGCUCUCGCACCUCCCGCCACCGCGCACCUUCGUGGUUCACCCUCGGCUCGUAUUAUUAUGACAACAGUAAGAAAAUUAAUCCCAGUUAUUUUGCUAUGACCUGGCUCCGCCCCUGUAUAUGAGUUUGUUCUGUAUUUCAUUGUUAGAUUGGUAUUCUCUUAAUUUACUUGUUACUGCAUUACUUAACAACUAACAGACCUAUGUGUGAUAUGGUACACUAAGUGUUUACUACAAUAGUGAUAUUUGUAUGUCCCUGUACUUAUUUCAGCAUCUGUGAUGGACAAGAGUUGGAUGAGCAAACCAAGAACAAGUGAUGACUAUAAGAUUGGUGUGACCCAAUUCCUUACUUUCGCAUUUCAUAAUGUUCGACCGGGUGGCAAGGUUAAUUGUCCAUGUGUUCAGUGUAAAAACAAGUCAACAAAAUAUUAUGAAGAAAUUAGAACCCAUUUGAGAUGCAACGGCAUUCUGCAAGGAUAUACUAUAUGGAAUCGACAUGGAGAGGAACACGGUUCAACACCAGCUCCAUUUGCUCACAUAUCAUCAAGCACACACAACCAUGCUCCAUUUGAACGUCCUUGUACUUCUCCUGCACAAACUGGAAGCAAGAGAAAUGAUGACAUGCAAGGGCUCCUAAAUGCAGCAUUUCCUAUGGCUGAUAAGUAUGAUACAGUGUCCAGUUCAGAUGAAGAAAUGGAUGGUAUUAAUAAUUACUAUACAAUGUCCAGUUCAUCAGAUGAACCAAUAGAUGACAAUGCAUUUGAGUUUGCUAACAUAAAUGGUAGUCAACAAGAUGUUACAUCAGAGGAGGUUGACCAUGAAACUAAAGAUGACAUUAUUUCCAUCAUCCUUAAAGAUGCUAAGGCAAAGCUACAUCCUGGGUGUGAUGCAUUCACGAAGCUUUCCUUUCUUGUCACCAUAUUUCAUUUGAAAUGCUUACAUGGAUGGACUCAGGAGUCAUUUACAUCACUUCUUGGUGUUCUUUCUGCCGCACUCCCUGAAGAGGCAAACUUACCAAAAAACUACCAUGCAGCAAAGAAAAUAAUUCGAGGACUAGGUCUUGAUUAUGUUAAGAUUCAUGCAUGUCCAAAGGAUUGCAUGCUUUUCUAUGGUGACCAGGCGAAACAAGAAACUUGCCAUAUUUGCAACACUUCACGUUGGGCAGAAAGAAAAAAGAAGGGUGAAGCAACAAAAACAAAGGGAUAUAAGAAGAAACCAGCAAAGAUCUUGCGGUAUUUUCCUUUGAUACCGAGGCUGAAGAGGUUGUAUGCUAAUGAGCAAACAGCAAGCGACAUGCGUUGGCAUGAUGAGGGUCGCACAAAGAAUGGGCUGUUGAGGCAUCCAGCUGAUGGGCAAGCUUGGAAUGAUUGUAAUUUGAGAUAUCCUAAUUUUUCUGCUGAUUCCCGCAAUGUGAGGCUCGGUCUUUCUAGUGAUGGAGUAAACCCUUACAGAAACAUGAAUAUUAGUCACAGUACAUGGCCAGUACUGCUUAUUCCGUACAAUCUACCUCCCUGGAUCUGCAUGAAGCAAACAUCUUUUAUACUGUCUAUGGUCAUUCCAGGACCAGAUAGCCCAGGAAAUGAUAUUGAUAUAUUUCUACAACCACUUAUUGAUGAAUUACUACAGUUGUGGGAGGGUGUUGAAACUUUUGAUGCCUCUUCAAGGAAGAAGUUCUCUCUCAGAGCAGUUUUGAUGUGGACUUUAAAUGAUUUCCCUGCAUUAGGUAACUUAUAUGGUUGGAGCACAAAGGGAAAAUAUGCAUGUCCAUCUUGUGCUGAUUUGACGAGGUCAAUUUAUUUGAAGAAGGGACACAAGUGUUCAUAUAUGGGUCAUCGUCGGUGGUUGCCUCAGUCCCAUCCCUAUCGUCGUAGAAGGAACCACUUCAAUGGUAUGGAGGAGAAAGAACUAGCGCCUGUAACAAUGAGUGGAAGUGCAGUUUUGAGGAUGAUGGAUGGUAAAACUUUUUUGUAUGGCAAAGGAAAGGUUCAUCCGGAGGAAGAACAAUCAUCAGGGCACAAAGCUAAAGCCAAAAAGAAAGGAAACGGUAAGAAACAAGGCAAAAAGAGGAAACGGGUCCAAAGGGAAAAACAACAAGGUAAGAAAGAGAAGAAACCUGAGGAUUGGAUAAAGAAGAGGUCUAUAUUCUUUAAACUUCCAUACUGGGAACACAAUCUGUUACGACACAAUCUUGAUGUGAUGCAUAUAGAGAAAAAUGUAUGCGAUAAUUUUGUUGGGACAUUACUAAAUGUAAGUGGUAAAACAAAGGACAAUCUAAAAGCAAGGCUUGACUUGGAGGAGCUCGGAAUUCGACCUGAACUACAUCCACAAUUGGAUAACAAAGGAAACAAAGUAAUGCCUGAUGCACCCUUUACCAUGUCCAGAGAUCAAAAGGAGAUUCUUUGCUCUGUUAUUCAAAAUCUUAGGACACCCGAUGGUUUUGCAUCAAAUCUAUCUAGAUGUGUGGAUGUUAAGGAGUGCAAGUUAUCUGGCCUUAAAAGUCAUGAUUGCCAUGUACUAAUUGAGGAAAUUCUUCCUAUCGCACUACGUUCUUGUUAUCCCAGCAAAGAUGUCAUGAAAAUAGUUGUAGAUUUAGCUUCUUUCUUUAAAGGAUUAUGUUCAACAGUUCUAGACACCUCAGAACUUGAUAAGCUUCAAGAGCGCAUUGUUCGUAUACUAUGCGACAUGGAAAGGGUUUUCAUCCCAUCAUUUUUUACCAUUAUGGUACACCUACUUGUACACUUGGUUGAGGAGGCAAAGUUUGGAGGUCCAGUACAUUAUAGGUGGAUGUACCCUAUUGAAAGGUAGACUUUCUUGCAUAGAAUUUACUCAUUUAUUUCAACAUCAGAUUUUUAAUAUUAUCUCAACUCCUAGGUGGUUCGUUCGACUCAAGGCGCAUGUUCGCAACAGGACACAUCCUGAAGGUUCCAUUGCUGAAGGAUAUAAAGCAGAAGAGUGCUUGACAUUCUGCUCAAGAUUUCUUGAUGGAACUACACGUUUUACACGACCAUCUCGGAAUCCUGAACCUUCAAAAAUAUCUAAAUCUUUUUUCUUGUUCGAGAGUGCUGGUGAACCCAUAGGGAAAGCUACUGUUGUAAACCAAUUUGACAAUAAGUUGCUCACUCAAGCGCAUAGAUAUGUAUUGAGACACUGUGAUGAACUAGAAGAUCUUCGUAGGUGUGUCAAAAUAAUAAUGCUUAAUCACAAAUAUUCUUUCUCCAAAUUACUGAAAAUGAUCUAAAGGUAUUUGAUUUUAGGGAGUAUGUGGAUUCAUUGAUAAAUCAGCAGCGCCAACAUCUCACACCUUCAAAUACUCAGGAUUUCGUUGAUAAGCAUUUUGCUGAUUGGUUGGAGCAGAAGGUACAAAUUUAAUUCUUUGCUUAGUCAAUUCAGUAUUUGUGCUUAUCUGUUUAACCAUAUAUGCAGAUACUACUUAGUGAUGAUGGCUUAAACAUUACUGGAAUUACGCGAGCAUUGGCUGGAAAACCAAACAGAUGUGGGAUGCGUUACAGCGGCUUUGUUAUAAAUGGUUUCAGGUUCCAUACUAGGAGUCGUGAGAGCAAUCGCUUGACACAGAAUAGUGGUGUCGUUAACACUACAACAGAUGGAACUAAUUAUUAUGGAAGACUCACUGACAUCAUAGAAUUGUCUUAUAAAGAUGAUUAUAAGGUGGUUCUGUUCAAAUGUGAUUGGUAUGACGUUCAUCACCGCAAUGGCAUAAAACAUGAUGAGUUUGGAUUCACCCUUGUAAAUUUCAAACGACUGAUACACACUGGAGGCAAGAUAGAUCAUGAUCCCUUUGUUUUCUCUUCACAAGUAUUCCAAGUGUUUUAUGUGGAGGACCCAAAAGCAGAUGGAUGGAAUGUGGUAGUAUCAGUAAGACCAAGGGAUCUAUUUGACAUGGGUGCUGAACCAUCUGGUGGUGACGACGAUGAAACGACAUAAUUUUCUAGGAGAGCUAAUAUAUUUUCAGUCAUUUUGUUACAAUGUCAUUUUAUUCAAUGCUGCUGUAAUCAGUGAGAAUCUUGUACGACAUAUUCUUAAAAUAUAGUUACAAUAUGAUUUAAUUUCAGAAAGUUGUCAACAUGUCCGAAUGGUGUUAAUCAGUAAGCUUGAAGUCCACAUUCGAUGCAGCAUCACAUUUGAAAACAACUUUUUCAUUAUCGACUAUCCUUAAUUUUUUCAUGUAAAAAACAUAAAAAUUCAAACGUACUUGACUAUGAGAUGAGUCUCUGGGCUGGCUAUGAGGGUUCAGAUUGAAUACAAUGUAGGAUGUCACACCCCAAAAAUUCACAUUUUGGGGAUGUGAGCUUUUCAUCAUGCAAAACUAUUUUAAACAACAAGUUUCACUAAGUUUUAAAACUUUUUUUAUUGAAAUUAUCCUUAUGAAAAAAACACAAGGAAUUAUUUUUAAAUUUACUCUCAAGUAUAUUCCUUGUUGGAGAUAGAGAGAAUAAUAUAAAUAAUAUUUUCAAUUAGCUUUAUAUUUUAUUUUAAUUGUUGGAAAAAAAUAAAUAGAGAACAAUAUAGAGGCAACUUUAUAUUUCAAAUUCUCUAGCAUAAAUACUAUAUUUUAUUUUGCAUACAUGUCAAUGUGCAUUUUACAUAACUUCAUGCAUUCAUAAUUAUAAAAUGUUCUCUGGAAUUUUCCAUGAUUUUACAAUUUUUUGGUUUUUCAAAAUAGAUCAUGGUUUUUAUUUUAAAAAUAUAAAUCAGUUUAUAGGUGAAAUAUGAGAACCAAAUACAUUCUAAAAAUAACUAGAACCAUUGUAAUAAAUCUUAUAAAAGAUGUUGUUUCUUUGGGCUAGCCGGCCUGUAGUUGCGCGCCCAGGCCGCAACCUGGGCCUGGGCCGCGCAUCUGACCCACGCGCGGGGUGUGGUGCACGCCCAAACUCCCUGUAGCCGUAUGAUUCAAGCCGACGGCCAGGAUCUUCCAUGCACUGUAGCAGGUUCUAUAAAAAUCUAAAAUCUCGGGGUGAGGUGGAACCCUAGCUCAUUUCUGUCAUCCCUAGCCGCCACAAAACAGCCGGCCACCAGGUUGUCUCCUGGCCGACCGCGCUCUGCUGCUCAAAACUUCCUCUCUCCCUAUCUGUUAUGCCUCGGCCAAAAUAGCUCUUGGCAAACGGCUUGGCAAGCAGCUGUCUGCUGGCUUCUUGCCUUAGCCAAAUGAAGAUCAUAUUUUUCACGACCUCUCUUUUAUUUGUUUUAGUUCUUUUUUUUGUUUGACUGAAUCUCAGAGAAAACGUCUUGCUCCCUCCACCAGGCCGCCAGGACGCAACGUUUCUCUCUUUUGAAUCUGCUGUUUUUUUUCUUGAAUCCGACGCUAGUUCCCUGGCCUAGCGCAGGCAUGUCUUUUCAUUUACCAGAGAUGGUCGGCCGAUUAUGGGGCGCUGUCUCUAACCUUUUAAAAACUCGGAUCUAGUUCUCAUUUACUCGAAUCCCUUACUGUGAGAAUGAAUGUAUGAGAUGGAUCUAAUGUAAUAUUUGGGAUCGAGUUAUGAGUUGAUUAAAAAAACGUGGAUCCGAGAGUUUGCGUUAUUUCUGUUAUUUUCUGUGAUGAUUUUCUGUACCUAUUCUAAUCUGUUCUGUCAUCUAGGCCGUGGAUGUAAAAAAAGAUCCCGAGCCACUGAUCUCUGUUGACCAAGAUUUAAAAAUGAUUAGGGUUAGGUUAUUAAACCCUAACCCUAAAACCUCGAUCUAUUUUACUAUCUCGGAUUUCCUCGGUUUGGUCGAGACCAAGUCUCAUUUAGUGGCCGAAAAUCCUAGAUUUAGGGUCAGGUAAAACCCUAACCCGAGAGAUCUAAAAUUCUUUCUGUCUAUUCUAUUUCUGUCUGUUCUCGGGUGAUGAACGAUGAUAAAAAAAUUUGAGUUCAUUCACAUAGAUCCGAGACCUUUCUGUGAUCUCAUAAAACGAGCUCUUGGAAAAUCUAGCUCUUUGAAAUAUUGGCUGAGAGCUUAUAAAUGUUGAUAUUGACUUUGGUAAUAUGUAUUUAGCUUCUCGAACCUUAAAUAUAUGUUAUAAAAAUAUCAGUGACAACCUUUACGAAACGAAGGUAGUAGUUUUUGUACAUUUUUUAGUAAGACAAAGUUUAACUUUGAUUUUUAAAAGUCAAACAUUAUUUGAAUUUAAAACGUGUGUGGAAUUGAAAAAUCGAUGGCUAGCUAAUCAAAUUGGUCAAUAAACUAGUCAACGUGAUCAAACUAAAAAAAUGUUGCACUUUAUUACUUGAGAAAUUUUCCAGUAGAAAUUUUCCAGUUGAAAUUUUAAAAGAAUAAAUCUAAAUAAUUAAUGAAGUGUUUCUUGGCGCGCUUAAACUUCUCGAAAAUAUUGUGCUUUCGGCUUUCGCGCUCUGUUUAUCCGCGCCAAAAAAUUCCCCCCCCCCUAAAGUGUUGGAACCACCCUCCCAUGUUUCUCGAUCACACCUCCUAGAAAUCUCCUCCGGUUCUUCCACCUCCCUGUAGUUCUCGCUCUCCUGCCACCAUUCUCUUCGUGCUCCUGCUCCAUAUGCCCUCCUUUCAGUCUGCUGCUUGAUGAUCCAUCGCCCAGCUGCUGGUUGAUCCGUCGCCCAGCUGGUAACAGAUUUCUUCGUGGGUGCAGUAGUACCAUAACUGACCCACCCUCUAAUCUUUACUCCGACCUACAAGGUACUGCUGUAGCCUGACUCAAUCAAUGUGAUUUUACUGAAGCAUUCACCGAUUAUACAAUCAUUUGUAGCCACAAAUGCACAACGUUUUUUAAUCUGCUGUCAACGAUUGCAACUUUUUUAUUUCAAUCUGGUAAUUCUUAAAUCAAUCUGCUGUCACCGCAUGCAAUACUUUUAAUUUUGAUCCGGUAAUUCUUAGAUUAAUCUGCUGUCACUGAAUGCAAC
rnacentral:lncRNA from 1 species